rnacentral:lncRNA from 1 species
CCGGCCUUCCUAUGUUCCACACCUCCACUCUAUCUCUCUCAAUCUAGUAGAAACUAGAAGAUCUAUUUCUACUUACAUUGGUUGCUAAGCCUAAAAAGAAAUAUUAUUUAGAGAAGAGGUUUUCCUUCGAGGGCACCCCUCAAUCUCUAUGAUAAUUUCUUGUCUUCUCCAGGGGCCAGGGGGUCUCCUUAUAUAGUGCUCCUCCUCUAUGCAUUUUUGGUUCAGCAGGCGAUGUGGUACUAAACUUUCCACCAUAUCUCAUUAAAAUACACAUAGGCCUUCAUGGACCAAAAUCUCAUUUGGGCCCAAUUAAUCCCGCAGCUCUUUUAUGUGGUGUGCUUCUUUUAUUAAUAUCUCUUGAUUCCGAACACCAAAUAUAGCAAAUAAUAUAUGCAUUUCGAUCAGCUCGACGAGAUCUUUGUAAUGGUGUACUCCAUUCUGUGAUUGGUGGAAACACCUGGGCGGGCGCCCAAGGGGAGAGGGCGGGCGCCCUGCCCCCGGGCCCGUUCGGCCUCCCGUUCGUUCUCGUGGUUUCUGGAGUCUUCUAGAUGAUAGAAAAUUGCGCGGCACGUUAAUAUCUCUAUGUAAACCCAACAUGUGGGCCUUUCUUUCUCAUUUCUUGAUAACCCCCUGCAGAAAUAGACAAACACCAAAACUCGUGGAAUCCUGUCAGAUAAAACCCUAAGUCUAGCUGUUGAUUUCAUUUGGAUCCUUUUCUUUGUUUAUUUUAUAAUUAAAUUUGAUACUUAAGGACCGUCAACAAACUCCCCCAAGCUUACCUCUUGCUCGUCCCUGAGCAAGGAUGAACUCAAGAGUUUCUGCAGUGGUUUCAUGCCUUAAAAGUACACACGCAUUCAAGCAAGAUCUCAUCUCUUAGUUAGAAUAAACUGUUAAGACUUAAAACUUACUCAUUUUACCUUUCACCAUGGGGCUUGUAACCUUCACUUGUGUCUUGAGCAGUUAAAAGAUAGAACAGUCUAGUCAAGUGCUAUGUCUCGUAUUCUUGAUCAGCUAUAGCUCUGGAGUUUUUGCAGAUUUUUAAAUAAAACUCAGAGAUUCCUUGUAUGACUCUCUCAGAUCUCUCUUUUGUGGUAUUUCUGGAUCCUUUCCAAGGCAGUAAUAGUAUAUGCCUUCUCUCAAAGUAUGUAGUAUUUAUGGUAUGAGGCAUAGUGAUAUUGCCUUCUCUCUCACCCCACUCUAAUAAGGUUCUGAUAUCUGGAGCUCAUAGGUGGGAGACCGCUAAUACAUACUUACAAGACAUUUAUUGCAUAGUCAAACCAUGGAUCCAGAAGAACAAGUCAAUAAGUCAAAUCAAGAUGUGCAUGUGUGGCGAGUGAAUGGUAUAUGGUGAUGAUGGUGAUAACAAUGGUGAAAGUCUAAUUCUACUUUUGCUCUUUUAAGGGGAUAGAUACCUUUCUUGCACUUUGAAGCUUUUUUGGGAGAAUGAGAUGCUCUAUAUUUUCUUUUUCUUUCCUCUUAGGUGGGUAUCUUGUACCCCUAAUUCUACUGUCGGACACUUGUCCAUUUUUACCUCUCGUCUCACUUUUUCUUUUCUUCGAGGUUCCGGGCACUUGCCCCUGUUUAUUUCCUUGUAUUAUUUUUUUUCUCUUUUUUUUAUUUUUCUUUUUUUUAGAGCACUCAUCUCCUGAAAGAAUGUAGCAAGUGGUAGUAACCAAAAUAACUGGAGCAUUUAUUUCACAGGGAAUAAUAGGGAUAGGAAAAUGUUUUUGGCUAUUCUCUCCCGGAUUAGGAGUAGAAUAAUUUUGGGUGAAUCUGGAGAUGGAAAUGAGUGGAUAUAUGUGGAUGGUACUUCCGGAGUAGAAGUAGCAUGUAUGAGUGGACAUGCAAGUGAAUCUUGAUUUUAACCACAUGACAAGCUCCUAAGGGUCUACACAGCUUGACCACACUCAAUGCUCAUAAGCAGUAAAAAGUAAAUAUGUGGCUCAAAGUCUAGCAAGCAUGUAUAUAUGGCUGUGGUAGGAAUUUAAACUCUCAUCAUAUAGGAACUCAUCAUGUGUUAUUUUCAAGAUUUUCCAAAGAUAAAAUUCUCCAGAAUUCUAGCAUCUCUAGGAAUAGAUAAACAGCAGCUCAACCUUCCCAUAUCAUAUCCGUUAACGACUUAGACUUUAGAUCAAGUACUCUUCCCACAAGUUCAGAUUUAGAGCAAAUCAUAAUUCAUAACAGUCAUGCCUAAACUUGAGAGAGAUUUCAAUUUUAAGAACUAGUCAUGGCAGAGCAACUAUUCAUCAUUUCCAUGAGAGAGCUUAUCAUGGGGGUUCAUAGCAAAUUUUAUUUAUUUAUUUGUUUAGCAAACUAAGCAAAGAUAUAUAUAAAAGCACAAAAUCUUUAUUUGGGUUUUCAUAAUUAUGCAUCUUUUAUUAUUUGAGUAAAGUAUAAACGCGAGUAGAAACACUUAGCUAGAUAAAUGGGGGUGCUCUCCCCCAAGCUGGAUUUUGACGUAAUUUCUUCUGAUGUAGCUAGCAGGUGGUAGAGGUGUAUUUGAAAGUCAGCAGCAUUCUGACAGCGAUUAGAAUGUCCUCCGUCUGCUAGUCUUCUUGAUUCUUAAAUGCUGUAGAGCUCAAAUAGACAACAAAGCUUUGUGGAACUGGUUAAGUGUUAGCAUAAAUAUCUAGCCUUUAUCAUAUUGAGCCUCCUCAAUAAAUAUUACUUAUUUAGCAGGAUUAUGCAUUUAUUAUUUUUAUAUUUUUUUAUUGUAAGAUGAAAACUUAUUUAUUUUAUUUUUAUGCCACCACAGAGAAUGUACUUAUGGGUUUUAUGCCAUGAGCAUACUCACAUGGGGCUUACUAUUGUUUUAACAUUUUUAUUUUUAUUUUUUUUUCAAGAUAGCAUGAACCUGAUUAACUAAGCAAACUAUUGAAUGGAAAAGGAUAACUACCAAGUUUACCUCUUGGCAAGGCGUUCGGUGUUUUUAAGUCCUCCGAACGGGACUCCUUGUGUUUUCAGUCGUCCUGGGAUUCGCUAGGUGGCGUAGUCGGUGAUUCCGGCGGCGCCUCUUCUUCGUGUAUAACUAUCUUCUCUCUCCACACCUGACUCGGUGCUACAGUCUCCUCAGGACAGUUCUGUUCAAGUUGUAUGUCUUCAGACCUUAUCACUUCUCCUUCGUAGUCUACCCCAUCCGUCCUUGAUGAUUUGCCUCCUCUGGUUGCGGUUGCGUUGUCUUCUUCUUGUCCUGACCUACUUAGAGUCUUCAACUAUAUAGUUAAGGUCAGUAAAAUAGCGGCAUACCUUCUUAGAGGAGAAGUGUACGUGGACUUCUCCGAUUCCAAUAUAGAUGAUGGCUUUGAUAGUGUUGUGGAACGGUCUUCCAAGGAUGGUGGGUGGAUCAUACUCGUCUUCUCCCAUGUCAAUGACCUGAAAAUCAUCUGGAGCUGAAUGUAUCUUGGUUGUAGGAGCAUGGUUCCAUGCAGAGCUGAUAAGUGACUGUGGCCAUUAUGUUAUCGUCAGAUCCGGUGUCGUAGAGUGUCUUCUGAAAAGAGUAUCCAUUGAUUGCGCACUCGAUGCUUGAAACACCAGGGUCGUCCUUCUUGAUCAGGAAAGGCGAUUUGAGUCGACGAUCUUGACCUCCUCCAACAAGGAUCCAAUGUUUUAAGUCUUCUAGACAAGACUUCUCACCGUCUUCAUCCUUUAGGUGCAUCAUUUGAUUAGGUGUGGACCUUGAUGUCUGCACCUCUUGAUACGGAGUCAUCCUUGUUCUUUGUUUGCUCAGCAGUUCAAAGUGCGGUGUUGGCAAUAUCCUGCUUAGUGUGUUUGUGCUUGUAGAUCUAGGUCCUUCACUUGGUGGAAUUUGGGAGUUGUAAAACUCCUCCAUGUUUUGUUUGAAGUGUACCUAUUCAUAGAGACAAGGCAGAGAUCAAGUGCAUGGGCCCUGUUGGUGGAAAACACCAACAGAACCAAAAGUGUAUUUGUUCUUCUCUAACCUUAAGCAUAGUGAGCAAGACAAAGUUGAUGGAUCAUGAGUGUAGCAUUUAAAACAUUUGUUAGAUCAGAUGGCUCAACCUAAUGGAAAGAUAAUCUAUCUAUAUUUAUGUUUUGUUUAUAUCUUCCAAAGAUUUAAAUGUACAACAUUUUAGCUUAUAUGAUUAGGAGUGUGGGAUCACGAAGGUAGUACUAAGAACAAAGAUUAAAGGACUAAACAUGUUGAAUUAAUUGAGUUGGUUAAUUUGGAGUUACAGAUCAGACAUGUUUGUCUCUUUAUUUAUGCGAAUGCUAGAACCAAGGAGAAACUUAUAAAAAUGAUAGUCAAGUACUUUAAGAUGUUACCUUAAUUGAAGAGUGAUGGUAUAGUAUCACCUUGUGGAAGCUUUCCUUUCUUAGCGGUUGUGCAUCGUGUUUGUGGCACCCUCCAUGAAUCAUCUCUUAUGAGCUACGUCUUUCUUGUGCAAAUUGUUAAACUUCAUGUGUCUCCUUUAUCUCCAAUGAGUUUGUAUCUCAGGACUUCCCAGGUUGAUAUUGAAAGUUUUCCUGCAGGGGUUAGUCCAACAAAAUAUCCCAAAUCUACUAUAGCAUACUAUCGGCUCAAAAAUCAACCUAGACACCAUGUCUAAUUUGAUUUAGAAGGGCAUUUUAACCUAAGCACCAUGCUUAAUUUAAAAUCCCUUGGAAGUAAGAUCAUCAUUCCUAAACUAAGCACUAUGCUUAAUUAAGAGAUAAAUGAAACUACUCCAAACCUAGACAUAUACUAAAGCAAAUAAAGGUGGCAUGAGAGCAAUUAUAGAGAUCCUACUCAAGUGGAGGUGAAGUAGUGUAAUUAGUAUUUAACAAAUUGAGCAUCUCUCAAAGGUAGGGACAACCAACAUAGCAACAUGGCGAAGGAUGUUUUUAUGUAAAGUACUCCCCCAAGCUUGAAUUUUACAAAAUUCAAGUUUGGAUGAAUUUAAUUCAAUGUUGCAUGAUGUUUGGUUGGACAUACCUUGUGCUUGUCAUUCAUCCGAUCUUCUUGCUCCUAUCCUAGAAAGGUUAGUGGCAAGAAUACCAGAAGGAAUAUUUCUACGAUUAUCUUUAUAUGCUCAAUAUACAGGGCAAUGUUGCAAAUAAUUAGAAGUUCAUGUUACGAUCUGAUCAGUGCUUGUUUUCGGACAUUAAGCUUAUCCUUGGGAAACCAUCAAGUUAUGUUGGUGAAGUGGUUUCCCCUCCAACGCUGACCUAUAUCAAGAUCAACUCAACAAGAUCUGCAAUAUUUAUUAUAGACAUAUGCAUCGACAACCGCCCUUUUAAAGUUUUUAUAAAUAGAAAGGAAGAGGGGGUUGGAGAUCUCAAAUGUGGUAAGGAUGGAGAGACUAAUUGAUUGGGGAGAUGUUUUAUAUGAGCGAGGUAAGAUAUUUAUGAAAUAACUUCCAUGCUCACUGUUGUUUCUCUUAUUCUCAAACUCCAAGGAUGAUUCUUCAUGAAUGCUUAAAAUUUCUCUAGGAUUGUCUCUCAAGUUUGUUUUAUCUAUCCAUUCAAUGGUGAUAGCACAAGGAUUUUUAAUGCCCUCUAGCCAUUGAUGUUGCUCUUCUCGAUCCUCCUUCUUAUGCAUGGGAUGUCUAGAGAGAUUCAUAGGAUUAUCGGGAGGUUCAAGAGAAAGAGCAUAGUAGAAACUAUUAAGCUUAAGGAUGGGAUGGAUAGCCGAAUCAUGGGAUUGUAAUGUUUGGAAAUUGGCUAUUGAAACUUCCUUUCCUCGUUUGGGAGAUGAUUCCUUCUCUAUCUCUAAGAUUUUUCUAUGAAGACUAGUACAAGAAGGAUCUCCAUGAAUGAAGACAUACCUUCCUUUACUAAUAGAUAAAGAAAGAAGGACUCUACCAAAGGUUAUAAGACCAAUGUGAAAAUAUCUAGGAAAAACAUGGUCUUGUAGGGCUAGGUCUAAACCAGAAUUUAUAGAAAGAUUAACAGAUUCCGUAGGUGUAGCUAAAAGUGCAUUAUCUUCUUGAUUAAAAGAUAGGACCUCGGCUAUAGAAAAGGGUUGGUUUUGACCUAUUGCAAUCAACUCCGGACACAGAUCAUAAUUAGGGGCAGGACGUGUUGACUCCCAUGGUCUAUGGCUGGUCUCCGAAGGUGCAAAGAAUUCAAUAAUAGGUAUGGAAUUUGAGUUAUCCAUAAAGAUAAAAAGAUAAAAGAAUAAAAGUAUAAAAGUAUAAUACAAGAUAAUAGCAAGAUUCAAAGUUAUCUCAGCAAACCGUCUUUCUCCCCGGCAACGGCGCCAGAAAUGCUUGUUGAUAUUUGGUAACGCAAUAAGGAAAUGAUCCGCAAGCGCACGGAUAUCGGUGAGCAUUUCACCCGGGAGGUUAUCCAGAGUUAUCAUAUUUAUAUUUUUACCACUGGGAGAAAGGGUGCAUCUGACUAACCAAAUCUAUUGCUACUACCCCUUUAGGCUACAAAGAAUGUCUCUCGAUGUGAGCGAUGUAUAGAGAAGACUGCAACCGUAGUCUCGUUCUAACCUUGGUAAGGAUGAUCUAUUGUUCUAUUGGGGAGGCUCACGGAAUCUAGACAACACAAAGGAUGUUUGACCCGCACCUAUAAACCUACCCGUCCUGCUAACGAGAUAUGAGAUACAAAGGUAACUCGGAAAUGUCACGUUCCUCGCUACUACCACGGUCCAGCUAGUCAGGGGAUAUCUAUGAGUACCCUAGCCUAAACACCACGUUUAUGCUAGCAAGUGAUUACUCUAAUACUCAACCGGAAGAGGAUUAAAGUAAACUCAUAAACCAAAGAACAAUAAAACAAGAACUUACUAGAAUUUAGAAGUCGAAUUACUGAAGAAUCUUAGAAGCAAGCCUCGGGUUAGGAGACUUGAUCCCGCAGGUACAACUCGGAGUAGACACCGACAAGCCGGCCUUCCUCUGAUCCACACCUCCACUCUAUCUCUCUCAAUCUAGUAGAAACUAGAAGAUCUAUUUCUACUUACAUUGGUUGCUAAGCCUAAAAAGAAAUAUUAUUUAGAGAAGAGGUUUUCCUUCGAGGGCACCCCUCAAUCUCUAUGAUAAUUUCUUGUCUUCUCCAGAAGCCAGGGGGGUUUCCUUAUAUAGUCCUCCUCCUCUAUGCAUUUUUGGUUCAGCAGGCGAUGUGGUACUAAACUUUCCACUAUAUCUCAUUAAAAUACACAUAGGCCUUCAUGGACCAAAAUCUGAUUUGGGCCCAAUUAAUCCCGCAGCUCUUUUAUGUGGAGUGCUUCUUUUAUUAAUAUCUCUUGAUUCCGAACUCCAAAUAUAGCAAAUAAUAUAUGCAUUUCGAUCAGCUCGACGAGAUCUUUGUAAUGGUGUACUCCAUUCUGGGAUUGGUGGAAACACCUGGGCGGGCACCGAAGGGGAGAGGGUGGGCGCCCUGCCCCCGGGCCCGUUCGGCCUCCCGUUCGUUCUCGUGGUUUCUGGAGUCUUCUAGAUGAUAGAAAAUUGCGCGGCACGUUAAUAUCUCUAUGUAAACCCGACAUGUGGGCCAUUCUUCCUUAUUUCUUGAUAACCCCCUGCAGAAAUAGACAAACACCAAAACUCGUGGAAUCCUGUCAGAUAAAACCCUAAGUCUAGGUGUUGAUUUCAUUUAGAUCCUUUUCUUUGUUUAUUUGAUAAUUAAAUUUGAUACUUAAGGACCGUCAACAAGCACUCCCCUUGAACUGAUCCCACACCGAAGUGUAGGGGUCACCCCGGGGAAACACCCAACGAAGGCGUGGGCUAGCUCCUAUCAUUCAAAACUGCAAAAGCAGCCCUGCUGGCACCCUAGAAAGGCGUGCUGCCUCGGGACUCAUACACCCAGCCACCCGAGGCGGGGUCACCGCCACUGGUAGGAAUCAUUGUCUCGAUCCCCACCAGGGUCCCGUCACCAAGCUGCUCUCAGCUCUAAUAGUAGCGAGGUUCCCUUCCUUCAGGAUACCCCAUCGAACUGAGCACCCUCCACAGCAAGGUAGGCAUCCCAAACUCUCCUAGGAACUUGCUCUUAUGACGCGAGCUCCUAGGUGCCAACUGAUGGUGAGGGGCCCGCCCACGAGUGGACUUGCGAGCGGUGAGCCUAGUGCGUGCCAUCUGCUAAAAAUAGGAUACCUUGGGUAAGACUGAGGAUUAUCUUCUAUCAUUUUAAAUAAAAUUGGGAAAGAUUUAAAUAAGGGGAGGAAUUAAGUAAUGAUAUGAAAUGAACAUGAUGCAUGCACGAAACAUACGAUCUCACAAACUUAGAAACAAAAGUCAGUACUAAUCGGUAUAUGCGGUGGCACAACACGUUCUCUCAUAACGUAACUAGCGUUCUAUGCGGGAACGUGGUUAGCGUACGUACAGAAAACUCAUUUCAGCCCAACCACAGUAUGAACAUAUAGAACAAAAAUUUAAAACUAUGCACCCCACACACACAGGUACCGCACCCAUGCAUGUGACGUGCCACUACCCACAUCAUCGCCCUAGUGACGGCAUCGCCUCUCUAGAUGGAAUCACCCCCACAUGUGGUACUGUUCCUAGGCACACUAGAUAUGCGUGCAUGACACAGCACCCUAAAGCCCUUCCCUAGAUCGACAGUGUAUCCGAUCAUGUUCUCACAGCUCUCACUUACCGAGGUGUAGGGGAAAAGUGAUCCAUACAUUACCACUCAAAUGAAUGGCACUCAUACUAUUACACGCCGUAGGAGCGACGAAAUGGAAAUAUGAUGCAUAACCCCCAAUCCAGUACUUAACUAGCCACCUUAGAGUCCUUAACUGGGCAUAAAGGAUAUGACCAUUGGCACACUGUGUAGUUUUCCAAAAACUCGUUUUAACACAUUGAUUAUCAUUAAUUGGCAAUUAACUUUUAUUAACCUGUUUAGGUUUGCUUUAGGACGUGCUUAUGAACAGUAAUCCGCUGAACCUUGCUCCGAAGCCAGCUGUAACAGAACCGCCCAAAUUAUAAGAGAUUAAGCCUGAUAGCGACCAUUUGCAUAGUCAACUUGCCAAGCUUAAGCCCAUAUAAUCCCGGUACCCCGUGAAAUCUCGAAGGAUUUCAAAUCACAUUUGUACAUACAGCCAAGAUCGUAACAAGUCCAGCCAUCACCAUCCACAAAUACAUUCAGUUCGCAACAUUCAUAGAUUACAUCGGAGUUCAAAUAUAGUUAUUACAAACCAAGUUCAAGAGUAGCGGAAGCAUUUCAGUUUUAAGAUAACACACACACUUAGUCGGAUACAGUGCCAUAGUUUGGUCAUUCCCACAAUAGCAAAAGAAGAGGUAGAGUGACCAUCACCCUUGGUCUAGUCAUCACCCAUUGCUGGGUACAAGCAGUGAAUGCAAUACCCGUAAUAUAUCUGCCCAUCUGCAAAAUCAACAUGAGAAUGGAACCCUGAGCACGAGAAUGUACUCAGCUAGACUUACCCGUCAUAAACCAAAAAUAGAAGACUCUUCAAGGAUUAUGAAGGCUGUAUAGUGGGGUAGCUGAACCCUUUUGGUGUAAAAGCAUUGAACCCUUUUAGCGUAAAAGCAUUAACCAUCUAGAAGUAUAUCUUGACAUCCCCUUUUCUUUUAUAUAGCUCAAGUUAGGUAUUAAUACCUACCAUCUAGAUUUGCACCUGUACUAUUGCAAACAAUUUGUUAGGAUAUGAUAAUAUCUUAUCAUAGCAUUCACAGUUCAUCAUUUAUCAUAACCCAAGUGUUUCAUAGUCCUUACUACGAGGACAGGGCUCAUGUCAAGUGCUCACUUUCCAGGAGCGAUGGCGAUUCGAAUCGAUUUCUAACCAGCUGGCGAGUUUAUUCCCCACACAAACCACACUCACUGAUCAAGUGAGCUACAGAUCACCAUAUUACAUUAUCUAGGACCAAUUUGCGGGUUCGACAGGCACCGCCUGUAUCCGAGGACCGUUCCGACUACUGAGGUAUCCAAGGUAUACCAAGGAUGCGCGCUGUGCCCUCGUCGUUCUCCUCAACCAGCACCAAUACAACGUGUACAUCGGGCCGAUUCCUGGCCCGGAUAGUGUUCAGGCUUCACGGUCGAAACGACUUAUCCUUCUAGCCAAGUGUGGGGCUUGCGGUCAACAUGACAAGAGGGCCGUCAACGAUCGGUUCUUAAUCGACGCAAGCAGGGGCACUACGGUCAACACCACCAUAAGACCCUGCCCGGUCUCAAAUUCAUUCCCACACUUGGUUACUUUUCACCAUAGCAUUGACAGCUUAUCAUUCAGGUAUCACCCGACUUCUACCGUGCUAAGCAAGCUAAGCAUAGACUCCGAGCCUAUCUACUUAGGACAAGGUAGAUAAACAGUGGUGAUAACAAGGAGUAAAAAUGCAUCAACGGUAUCAAGCAACUCCUAUCACUUAAUGCAACAUAGUAAAAACAACCAUGAUAUAAGUAUAUAACAAAUUAAGUUAGCGAGAAUAGGGAGACUAAGAAUGCUCUGGGGCUUGCCUCUCUUGAAGGUGCUAGGCCUAUGGUCCGGGCACUCCUGUAGAUCCCCUUCCGGCUCUAGUCCUUCUGGAAGUUCCUGCUCCUGUGUCACCUCCUUCUCCACGGGUCCCACCUCGUUCUCCUACGAGCCUGUAUGAUGCAUGUGUGCUCAUGAGUGGAGUGUAAGAUGCCUGAGGUGCAAUUCUUAUACAAAUUAGGACAACAUGAUCAUGGCAUGGUGUAUAGAUGAAACAUGAAACUAUUUCUACAAUGUAGUCAACAUCAUCCAAGAACAUGUAACCAAAGUAAAGCAUCUAUUGCAUUCUCUUCUACAAGUUAUUAUUCACCAGCAAGCUACCCUGAUGCUUCAAAGAUACACCAAACACAUUGCAUUCUAUUCAUCUCAUGCAUAACAAGGGUUUAAUUAAUUAAUUUAUUAUUAAACCUACAACAGUAGCCUAUACUUCUGUGCUUCAAUAAUUUCAACAAAAAUUACAGUAGUUACUGGUUACUUAUAAAGUUCAUCACCAAAUUUUUAUAACAUUUGGGCAGGUAACAUGGCCCACACAAAAAUCACAAAUUUAUUAGCAUAAUUAAGUGUAAAUACCCUACUGGUGAUAAAGUGUCAAACAACAGAUUUCGUAUUUUUAUAAACUGCUUCUUAACAUAAGAAAUGUCCACAAAAAUUUCCAGAUUAUGUGCAUGAUCGAAUUAUUUCUUAAAAAUCAUAAACCACUGCUAUGCAAGCAUUUAAAUCAUUAUAAAUUAAUCUAUACAGCAAAUAUUGUGCUACGUAUUUUUCACAGAGACUACACAUCCAUGCAAAGCUAACAAAACAAGAAUUACAAUUUUCUGAGUUGUAUUCUAUUUACUAUGCAUUUUCUAAAUAACAAUAAAAGCAUCAAAUAAAUAUUUUUACACAGAAAUUUGUACAAACAUAACAUGCAUAGGCACCAUAUUCUAGAUCUUGAUUAAUAGAACAUGUCAAACUUUAUUUCAACAUUUUUGGAGCUAUAGAUCUCAAGAUAUGGAUUUAAUAUGAUUUAAAUCAUUUUUGAGAAAUCAUUUUAUGAAAAUCCAUUUUAAAUCAGCCCCGAGUUCGGCUAGGUGCACCCAGUGCAGUGCACCCGCCCUCAACGCGAGCAUCCGAUAGGUGGACCACGGUCCCACGCGCCAGCCACCACAGAAGGGGGAAAGAACUCCAGCGAGCCGGAGCUCAUCGCCGGUGACCUCUUUCGGCGAACCGAGUGCUCGUACGCGUUCUACGGCUCAAGGCGAACCCGAUGAGCCCCUAUGCGCGACCUAGGACGGACCGGAGUGAGCUCGUCGCUGGCCAUGGUGGAAUGGUGGUGCUGCUCACCAUCGACCCGAGGCGCUGGCCCGGUAGAGCGCGUUUGGGAGGGUUUAGGAGCUUUCCGGUGGAGAGGCGAGCAAGAUGCGCUAGCUAGGAGGCGCAAAAAGGCAGGGUGGCGCGCUGGCCACACGCGCAGCACGGCGCUCUCGCUAGAGAAGAAGGCGAGGGCGAGCAGGGUCUCACCGUGCGUUACCAGGCGCUUGGAGGCGUGUCCCGCAAUGGAGAAGCGAGAGCGGAGAUCGGGGAAGGAGGAAUCGAAAAAAUGGCGCACGAGUUGAGGAAGAACGGUUGGAGCAGAGCUCGGGGCUCCAAUGGCGAUGGUGGUGCGAUGCGCGCGCGGAGCGGAGGCGAGAGAGCGAGAGAGAGAGCGAGGAGGCGCGCAUGGAGUGGAGGAGGGAGUGGCGAGUGCGCUGGCGCUGUCCACGGGCGGAGGGGGUAGUCGUGGCAUCGGCGGGCGCGCAUGCCGGCCACGCGGCGCCGCUGGCCUGACGCGGUCGGGCGCGCGCGACUCGGCCGUGUCUGAGCGCGGGAGGAGGGAGGGGACGCGGGCGCGGCAAGGCUGGGCCGGUUGGUUGGCGCCGGCCCGCCAGUGAACACCCCCCUCUUCCAUUUUUUUAAAUUCUUUUUCCCAAAAGCUUAAAUGCAACUUUUGAAGCCAUUGCAAAGUUUUUCAGGAGUUGAGGUAAAAAGAAGAAAUAUUCCCCACAAAAUACUUUACCACUUUGUUUUAAGGUGCAUGUCUAAAUUCCAAAUAUAAUUUGAAUCACAAAUUAAAACUAGUGUUAGGUCUUUAAAUAAAUCUAUUUUGGAAAAUUUGUAUAAAAUAUAUUUCUCAAAUCCUAGAGAUCCAAAAAUGUCACACAAUUAUUCUUAAUUCUUCUAAAGCAUAAUUCAAUUUAUUUUGGUCACCACAAGCAUUUUUGAAGUAAGCAUACUAAUUUAUUAUACUUAAAUUCAUUUAAAUCAAGCACAUAAAAUCACACUUAAAAUGUUACUUAUGCUCAUGUGAUGCUAUGCUUAUGCUUGACAAGAGUGCUUAUGAGUAGUGUAUGAGACUAAAUGCAUGCUUAACACCUAGGGUGCUACAGACUCGUCCCUCUGAAGUCAUUGGAUCAGAUCUAAUCGGUGCAGAUUGCUCAUUAGCUAAACCCAAUGUGCUUGGAGGGGAAGUAACCUCUGUACUCGCAACGGCUGAAGGAGCCGAUGGAGCCGUGACUGUUGACAAUCCUGGCUGAUGAUAAGCCGGGCCAACAUAGAGUGGUGGUGACUGUCCUUCUUUAAAAGUUUGGACCACAGCAUUAUAAACAGUAUUGGAUAGCACAUUGGAGUGAUUGAUCAAAGCACGAUUAAUAUCAUUAUUAACCUUGUCUUGCAAUUUACGAGGAUUGGAAUCAAAGGUAACCUGCAUCGGCAGAUCUUGCUUCUGGAUAACUUCCCCGCUCCUGUUCAUGCUGAAGGAUUUUAGACAAAGUUGUUUGUAUUCCUCCAUAGCCCUCUCCAUAGCUUGCUUCUAUUCUCCGUGUCGAGCUUAGAAGUAGCCAUGCCGAUCUUGUUGAUAAUAUUUGUCCCACUGAGCGUGCCAAAUGAUGUGUUGAUGCAAAAUAGAUCUGUAAACACAAAGGGCUAAUACCCAAUUCUAAUGUUGAGGCGUGCCAGUCGAUUUGACCUCACAAUCGACAAAGGUGAUAACUUGAAUACUUUGGUCCUGACAACAGCGAUGCGCCCAGAUGUCAUGGCCAAGAGGUACUCACGCGGAACUCGAGAAUUCGUCGAGUAUUGCUCGUUGAAUCCCUAAAAACUCGUAGACAAAAGAAAGUGUGCGAGUUGACGAAGUUGUCAAAAAAGUAGAUGUAAAAAAAGAUGUAAAACUUGUGUAUGAUAUUGAUUGAUUGUCCUUCUUACAUUGCUGCUAGGUCUACAUUUAUACCCUGACCUAAAGAGUUACAAUCGUAUAUGACUAGGAUUUAAUUCUAAACAAAACAAGACACUUACAAAAGGCAUACUUUAAUAAAUAUGGAAAACAACCACCUAUCUACUCCGGUGUAUGCUUCAUCGGCAUAUCCUUGUUGCCUCCUUAGCAACUUCAACGCCUCCCUUCAUCGGCACCGGCCUACUCGCUAUAGCCUCCUCAACAACUUCCACACCUUUCUUCAUCGGUAUCAGCGAUCAUCGGCAUUGGCGAUCAAUCGGCAAUGAUCAGUAACCACCAUCUUGACCCUUAGGCCAGCAACAUCCUCCACCUAUCAUCCUGUCAUCGGCAUCAUCGGCUAUCGGCAAUCUUCUUAUCACCUUGAUACAACAUUUUCCUAACUGCCGAUCAGUUCUUCCUAACCAUCUUGACUUGUGCCUAAAAACAGUGUCAACACCAAUAUUAUUGCUCAGUAUGGUGCCUUCGUUGAUGAUGCAGUGGGGGCAGAUGAUGAAGAGGAUGCGGCAGCAGCAGAAGAUGUGGCAGUUCAUGCUAAUGCUCUUAGUGAUGCCAUUUGCGAUGCACAAAGAGAUUGUGAAUGUGAGAAGGAGAAGGCCAAGUUCGAGCGUGUGCUAGAGGAUCACAAGAAAUUGCUAUAUCCGACCGCUAAAGAUGGGCAAAAAAAGCUACGUACAACACUUGAACUACUUCGAUGAAAGGCAAAGAAUGCUACAUCCGACAAGUCAUUUGGGCAGUUAUUGAAGAUCAUGAAAAAGAUGCUUCCGAGGGCAAACGAAUUGCCCACCACUACGUACGAAGAAAAGACAGUUGUCUGCCCUUUGGGAUUAGAAAUCUAGAAGAUACACGCAUGUCCUAAUGACUACAUCUUGUACCAUGGUGAGGAAUACGAGAAUUUGGAUGCAUGCUAUUGACGGUCCUUAAGUACCAAAUACAAUCAUCAAAUAAAUAAAGAAAAGGAUCCAAAUGCAACCAACACCCAGACUUAGGGUUUUAUCUGAUAGAAUUCCACGAGUUUUGGUGUUUAUCUAUUUCUGCAGGGGGUUAUGAGGAAAUAUGGAGGAAAGGCCCACAUGUCGGGUUUACAUAGAGAUAUUAACGUGUCCCGCCCUCUCCCGUUGGGCGCCCGCCCAGGUGUCUCAGCCAAUCAGGCUGAGUCUCAUGGAUCAUGCUCCACCGACCUAAAGGAUUAAGGAAAACCGUGCGAUUAAGGUCGGUUUGAUCCGACGGCCCAUAUUCAUUUGGAGGGGCUAUAUAAGCAGGCCCCAUGGCCCCUAGAGGAGGGCAAUCCCAUUAUUCAUUAGCAUAUUUUCUAGAGAGGAUUCAGAGAGAGAUGUCCCUCUAGGGUUCCAACCUCAUAGGGCUUAGCAUCCAAUGUGAGAUUAGAAUUAGUUCUUCUAGAUUGAGAGAGAUAGAGUGGAGGUGUAGAUCGGAGGAAGCCCGACCUGUCAGUGUCUACUCCGAGGUUGUACCUUAAGGUAACACCUUAAGGUACUUGAAUAUCACUUUUAUAAGCUUCUCCUUGGUUCUCGCAUACACAUAAAUAAAAGAGACAAACAUGUAUGAUUUGUAGCUCCAAAUUAACCAACCCAAUUAAUUCAACAUGUUUAGUCCUUUAAUAUUUGUUCUUAGUACUACCUUCGUGAUCCCACACUCCUAAUCAUAUAAGCUAAAAUGUUGCACAUUCAAUCUUUGGAAGAUAUAAAAAAACAUAAAUAUAGAUAGAUUAUCUUUCUAUUAGGUCGAGCGAUCUCAUCUAACAAAUGUUUUAAAUGCUACACUCAUGAUCUUAUUAUCCAUCAACUUUGUCUUGCUCACUAUGCUUAAGGUUAGAGAAGAAAAAAUACACUUUUGGUUCUAUUGGUGUUUUUCACCAACAGGGCCCAUGCACUUGAUCUCUGCCUUGUCUCUAUGAGCAGGUACACUUCGACCAAAACUUGAAGGAGUUUUACAACUCCCAGAUUCCACCAAGUGAAAGACAUGGAUCUACGAGCGCAAACACACUGAGCAGGAUAAUGCCAAUGCCGCACCUCGAACUGCUGGACAAACGAAGAACAUGGGUCACACCGUAUCAAGAGGUGCAGAUGUCAAGGCCUACACCUAAUCAAAUGAUGCACCUAAAGGAUGAACACGGUGAGAAGUCUUAAAACAUUGGAUCCUUGCUGGAAGGUAAAAUCAGUAUUUAUCCAUAUUUAUCUUUUCUGCAUUCCUUUUCCUUUUUAUUCCAUCACUUGCAUUAGCAUAUUUACUUUUCCACAUUAGCAUUAGAAAAGAAAACAAAAAUAUUUGUUCGUUGCACUGCAUCAUAAAAUCUAAAGCCCCAUGUGAGUAGACUUGUGGUUUAAAACCCAUAGGUAUAUUGACUGUGGUGGCAUAAAAUAAAUAUGUUUUCAUCUUACAAUAAAAAUAUAAAAAUAAUAAAUGCAUGAUCCUGCUAAAUAAAUAAAAUUUAUUAGGAGGAAUCUCAAUGUGAUAAAGGCUAACACUUAACCAGUUCCACAAAGCUUUGUUGUCUAUUUGAGCUCUACAGAAUUCAAGGAUCAAAGAAGACUAGCCGGUGGAGGACAUAGUAAUCGCUGUCAGGGUGCUGCCGACAUUCAAAUACACCUCCGUCACCUGCUAGCUACGUCAGAAGAAAUUACGUCAAAAUCCAGCUUGGGGGAGAGCACCCCCAUUUAUCCAGUUAAGUGUUUCAACUCGCGUUUAUACUUUACUCAAAUAAUAAAAAGAUGCAUAAUCACGAAAACCCAAAUAAAAAUUUUGUGCUUAUAUAUAUCUUUGCUUAGUUUGCUAAAUAAAUAAAUAAAGUGUCUAGGCCAAACUGAACUUAAAUGAUAAACUCUUACAUGGAUAUGAUAAAAGUUCCUCUGCCAUGUACCUAGUUUUCAUGUUUGAGCUCUCUCUCAAGUUUAGAAAUAACUGUUAAAAUUUAAACCUGCUCUAAAGCUAAACUUGUGGGAAGAGUACUUGAUCUAAAGUCUAAGUCGUUAACGGAUACGAUAUGGAAAUGUUGAGCUGUUGUUUAUCUGUUCCUAGAGUUGCUAGAAUUCUAGAGAAUAUUAUCUUUGAAAAUCUUUAAAAUAUUGCAUGAUGAGUUCCUGUAUGAUAAGAGUUUAAAUUCCUACCACAACCAUACAUCCAUGCUUAUUAGACUAAGAACCAUACAUUUACUUUUCACUACUUAUGAGCAUUGAGUGUGGUCAAGCUGUGUAGACCCUUAGGAGCUUGUCAUGCGGUUAAAAUCAAGAUCCACUUGCACGUUCACUCACACAUGCUACUUCUACACCGGAAGUACGCAUCCACAUACAUCCACUCAAUUCCAUCUCCAGAUUCACCUAAAAUUAUUCUACUCCUAUCCGGGAGAGAAUAGCCAAAAACUUUUCCUAUCCAUGUUAUUCCCUGUGAAAUAAUGCUCGAGAUAUUUUGGUUACUACCACUUGCUAUAUUAUUCUAGGAGGAUGAGUGCUCUGAAAAAAAGGAAAAAUAUGAGGAAAUAAAAAGGGGCAAGUGCCCGGAACCUUGAAGAAAAGAAAAAGUGAGACGAGAGGUAAAAAUGGACAAGUGUCCGACAGUAGAAUUAGGGGUACAAGAUACCCACCUGAGAGAAAAGAAAAAAAUAUAUAGAGCAUCUCAUUCUCCUCAAAAAAGCUUCAAAGUGCAAGAAAGGUAUGUAUCCUCUGAAAAGAGCAAAAGUAGAAUUAGACUUUCACCAUUGUUAUCACCAUCAUCACCAUACACCAUUCACUCGCCACACAUGCACAUCUUGAUUUGACUUAUUGACUUGUUCUUCUGGAUCCAUGGUUUGACUAUGCAAUAAAUGUCUUGUAAGUAUGUAUUAUCUGUCUCCCACCUAUGAGCUCCAGAUAUCAAAACCUUAUUAGAGUAGGGUGAGAGAGAAGGCAAUAUCACUAUGCCUCAUACCAAAAAUACCACAUACUUUGACAGAAGGCAUAUACCAUUACUGCCUUAGAAAUGAUCCAGAAAUACCACAAAAGAGAGAUUUGAGAGAGUCAUACAAGGAAUCUCUGAGUUUUAUUUGAAAAUCUGCAAAAACUCCAGAGCUAUAGUUGAUCAAAGAACAAGAGACAUGGCGCUUGACUAGACUGUUCUAUCUUUUAACUACUCAAGACACAAGUGACGGUUGCAAGCCCCAUGGUGAAAGGUAAAAUGAGUAAGUUUUAAGUCUUAACAGUUUACUCUAACUCAGAGAUGAGAUCUUGCUUGAACGCAUGUGUAUUUUUAAGGCAUGAAACCACUGCAGAAACACUUGAGUCCAUCCUUGCUCAGGGACGAGCAAGAGGUAAGCUUGGGGGAGUUUGUUGACGGUCCUUAAGUACCAAAUAUAAUCAUCAAAUAAAUAAAGAAAAGGAUCCAAAUGCAACCAACACCCAGACUUAGGGUUUUAUCUGACAAAAUUCUACGAGUUUUGGUGUUUGUCUAUUUCUGUAGGGGGUUAUUAGGAAAUAUGGAGGAAAGGCCCACAUGUCGGGUUUACAUAGAGAUAUUAACGUGACGCACAAUUUUCUAUCAUCUACAACACUCUAGAAGCCACAGGAACAAACGGGAGGCCAAGUGGGACCCAGGGCAGGGCGCCCGCCCUCCACCCUUGGGUGCCCGCCCAGGUGUCUGAGCCAAUCAGGCUGAGUCUCGUGGAUCAUGCUCCACCGACCUAAAGGAUUAAGGAAAACUGUGCGAUUAAGGUCGGUUUGAUCCGACGGCCCAUAUUCAUUUGGAGGGGCUAUAUAAGCAGGCGCCCUGGCCCCUGGAGGAGGGCAAUUCCAUUAUUCAUUAGCAUAUUUUCCAAAGAGGAUUCAGAGAGAGAGGUCUCUCUAGGGUUCCAACCUCAUAGGGCUUAGCAUCCAAUGUGAGAUUAGAAUUAGUUCUUCAAGAUUGAGAGAGAUAGAGUGGAGUUGUAGAUUGGAGGAAGCCCGGCCUAUCGGUGUCUACUCCGAGGUUGUACCUGCGGGAUCAAGUCUGCUAACCUGAGGCUUGCUCCUAGGAUUCUUCAGUAUUUCGACUUCUAAAUUCUAGUAAGUUCUUUGUUCUUCUUGUUCUUUGGUUUAUGAGUUUACUUUAAUCUCUUCCAGUUGAGUUUGGAGUAAUCAUUGCUAGCGUAAACGUGGUGUUUGGGUUAGGGUACUCAUAGAUAUCCCCAGUCUAGCCAGACCGUGGUAGUAACGAGGAACGUGACAUUUCCAUAGCUACCUUUGUAGCCCACAAUCCCGUUAGUAUGAUCGGUAGGGUUUAUAGGUGCGGGUCGAACAUCCUUUGUGGUGUCUAGAUUCCGUAAGCCUCCCCAAUAGAACAGUAGAUCAUCCUUGCCAAGGUUAGAAUAAGAGUGCGGUUGUAGUCUUCUCUAUACAUCACUCACAUCAAAUCACAUUGUUUGUAGCCUAAAGGGUAGUAGCAAUAGAUUUGGUUAGUCAGAUGCACGCUUUCUCCUAGUGGUAAAAAUAUAAAUACGAUACUCUAGAUAACCUCCUGGGUGAAGUGCUCACCGAUAUCCAUGCGCUUGCGGAUCAUUUCCUAAUGGCGUUAACAAAUAUCAACACAUGCUCGGUAUGCAAAGCAUCGCGGUAUAAGAUCAAGCGAGAUGAUCCUGGUGAUGUAGAGGGUGAAGAACGUCCCAGCCGGAAGAAAAUCCCUGCCAAGGUUAUGUGGUAUGCUCCUAUAAUACCACGCUUGAAACGUUUGUUUAGAAAUAAAGACAAUGCAAAGUUGUUGCGGUGGCAUAAAGAAGACCAUAAGGUAGACAAUAUGCUCAGGCAUCCAGCUAAUGGAUCACAGUGGAGAGCGAUAGACAGAGAAUUCCAAGAGUUUGCACAUGAGGCUAGAAACUUGAUGUUCGCUUUAAGUAUGGAUGGUUUAAUCCUUUCGGGGAGCAGAGCAGCAGUCAUAGCACUUGGCCAGUCACUCUCUACAUCUACAACCUUCCUCCAUGGUUAUGCAUGAAGCAGAAGUUCAUUAUGAUGCCUGUGCCCAUCCAAGGGCCGAAGCAACCUAGCAACGACAUCGAUGUGUACCUGAGGCCAUUAGUUGAGGAACUUCUUCUUCUAUGGAGCAAGCCAGGUGUACGCGUGUGGGACAAGUACAAACAGGAACACUUUGACCUACGAGCAUUGUUGUUCAUCAUAAUUAAUGACUGGCCUGCUCUAAGUAAUCUUUUAGGCUAGACAAACAAGAGAUACAAUGCAUGGACACACUGUUUCGAAGACCUUGAUAGUAUAUUUUUGAAAAAAUGUCGAAAGAUCAUGUACAUUGGCCACCGUCGGUUUCUUCCUCUGGGCUACCUAGUAAGAAAGAAACACAAACAUUUUAAAGGCAUGGCAGACCAUCGGACUAAGCCUCGUAACCGAACUAGGGAUGAUAUACUCGAAAUGGUGAAGGAUAUGAAAGUAGUUGUCGGUGUUUUCCCCACGGGAGGUCACACCAACGAGUGAAUUUGUAUGCGUGCUUCCCUUUCCCAGAUGGUGAUGCAAAAAGGCACAAGGAUUUAUCCUAGUUCGGGCAAGAGAAGGCCCUACGUCCAGCGGGGGGAGAUAGUUUGUAUUAUUUUGCACCUAAGUGCUUGUACAGGGGCGAAUACAAGCGUGGUAUGGAGUAUGGGAGUUCUACUGCGUAUGAGCGUGGUGUUGCCUUGUUCCUCAUGUCCUGUGUUCACUCCCAGGUCUCCCCUUUUAUAGUUCCAAGGAGAGACCUAGGGUACAUAUAUAGGUGACAGACUAGGGGUCAAUAGAGGCCUGGCGCGCUGACCUACUCGAGGCUUCCGUACUGGCGUGGUCUCGAGCCGUCCCAUCCUGGUAGCUUGAUGAUGAUUACGUGUGCCCUUAUAUCCCACUCUGUAUGCCGUCUUGGACUGGUUUGUCCGUUGCACGCCUAUACGUCACGGCAGCUGAUACGUCGGAGUGGUGGCAGUGCCGUCAGUCGAUGCCCAACCCUUCCCCAGGAAGGAAGCAUGUCUGGUCGAGGGUCGGACGCCAGGUAGCGCCUUGCUAUCCAGAGUAUUGACUUUUGGAGUCUCGAGGGGGUCCUGACUAGACGUUCCAUCCCUGCUUCCUGCGUCCUGACAGGCUCUGGGUCGUUUGGAGGGGAAGGCUGCAAAAAGAAUGACGAGACGGAUGCCUGUUCCCCAUCACGCUUCCCGUGACUGGCGUGUUAGGUGGGAAUGCGACAGGCGCAUUAAAUGCUCUGGCUCCCGUGCGCGUGUCAGGCGGCGGGCGGCGUCCUGGCGCUCGACGCCCGCCGAUUCGCUCGAGCCUGUUUCCGUAUUCGACGGUAGUUGGCGCUCGAGCCCUGCUUGAUUCGCUCGACGCCCUUUCCGUCUUCAAGGCUGAGGUCGUCGAUGACUAUAUGCGUGAUUGUGUAGAGCGUCGAGUUGGGGAUCUCGACUUUCGUACGGACGAUCUCGUUAUGUACAUCAGUUGGGAUACCCGUUAGGCGGCGCAUUUAUGGGGGGUGUUACCUCUUUUAUCGGGUCUGUCUGUUGGUGGACCGCGGCCUAUAAUUAUCCCAUUGCAUCGCCGGCGUUCUUCCUUCCACCUUCCACCCUGUUGUCUUUUGCUUUCUUGCUGUCUAAGUUCUCUUGCCAUCUUACGCGCGCGCACCCCCUCAAGCAGUAGCGAAUCCGCCAUCCUUCCGGCCAAGAUGCCUGUGAGACUCGUCGCCGCCGACGACUGGCGCCCGUCGUCGAUGACGGAGCACCGGUUGCUGGAGCUUGAGAGGGAGGGACUCCUGCGCCACCGCACCUCCCUGUCGUCGCCGGAGUGGAUCGCGCUGCAAGCGGACCACAGGGAUACCAGGCCGCCCAAGGGCUACGUAGUGUCGUUUGCCAAGUUCCACUGCCACGGCCUGGGCGCUCCUCCGAGCCGCUUCAUGCGGGCGAUCUGCCUCCAUUACGGGGUGGAGCUCCAGCACUUCUCCCCAAACGCUAUCACCGUCGCGGCGGUCUUCGCUGUGGUGUGUGAGGGCUACUUGGGGAUGAUGCCCCACUGGGAGCUGUGGCUCCACCUCUAUAGGGGCGAGCUCUUCAAUGCCCCCACCGAGACCACCGGCGUGAGGAAGCCUGUGCAGGCAGGAUGCCUCAACCUCGUGCUGAAGACGGGGAAGACGGAGAGGCCGCGCGAGUACAUCCCGGUGGGAUUGUCGACGAACCACGCCGGAUGGGACUCCUAGUGGUCCUACUUGAGGAACGACGACAAUCUCCUACCCACCUACACCGGGCGUCUCAUCACGGAGCGUCCAGAGAACUGGACGUACGGCGUCAUUCAAGCUCAUCAGUCUCGGCUCGACCCCCUCCUCGACGCCAUGAAGAAGCUGUGCUUGGAAGGCUUGAUCGCCGCUCUCGUCCUCUCGGCCGUCCAUCACCGGAGAGUUCUCCCAUUGAUGUCUCGGCCGCUGAGGAUGGACGGGAUGGGCCCUAGCGUUUUGUCUCAGGACCUUGAGGCAUGCCGGAUGUCCAACGAGGCUCCGGCGGAUGACGAAGUCGCGGCCCGGGUCAGGGCCGCCAUUGCCGGUGAUUUUAAGCCGGAGCACCUUAACGGCUUCCCCAUGAGGCCUGAUGCGGGCUCGAUCGAUCUGGUAUGCUCUCUUCUCGUGCACAGCUUCGAUUCUAGAUUUCUUUCUACCCCUUUUCUGAGCCUACCUUUGUUCUGGCUGGGACGGAUUGAUGUCCGGUCCUCGAGGCCUCCAGUAAAGGAGGACGAGGUCGACUGUGACGCACGGCGCCGGUCCGCCGAGAAGCAAAAGUCCGUCAAGGACUCUGUGAAGAAGGGGGAGAAGAAAAAGAACCUCGACCGUCAAGCGUUAGAGGCGCGUCGAGCCAAGUCCAGGCAGAGGGGGGAGCCUGAAGAAGAAUCCCCUAGUGAAGAUGAUGGCGGGGACGGUGAUGACGACAGCAACGAUUCCGAGGGUAUGGCGUCUCGCCUCGACCGGAUCCUCAAGGAUCCGUCUCGAGGCGACGUCGACGCCCCGCGGAUGGGAGCGCCAAAGGAGGGGCCAGGCGGAUCUCACUGCCCCCACGCUUACACCCCUCCUGCGCCCGCGACCAGUCAGGCCGCCCCGCGCCCCCAACCUCCCCCUGCACCAAAGGCGGGUGGCCAAGCUAAGCCCCAGGUGACGGGGCCGCUGACCCACGGUCGCGCCGCGGCCUCCGAGAAGGGAGAGACCGGCCGCAGGAGCGCCAGUCUCGGCGCCCGCCAGGCGGGAGUUACUGGGCCAAGGCCAGCGCCUGCCCUCGAGGGGUCCGGGGCCUUAACGCGGGGUGGUUCGAGGCCCACCGGUCGAGGUACCGGUAGGCGUGCCGUUCUCCCUGUGGGGUAAGUCCUUCGACGCUGUGGUUCUUAUUUUCCUAAUUCUUCAUGUUUUCUCGUAUAACGGUCUUCUUUAUGCCUGUCCCUCUUUCCUCAGGUUAAAGCGGACGCUUGAGCAGGCCCAGCCUUCGAUGGCAAAACAGCUCAAGGUGGGAGCGGCCUCCAAGGACAUAGGUUAGCAGCUUAUUCAUGGGAUUUGUGUCAUCCUUACGUUGGUCAUUAUAGCGGCUGACCUUUGUUUUUUGUUUUACAGGUUCCUCCGACCCUCAGCUGCCGACUGGCACCGAGAGCGCCCCACCUCGUCCCCCGACGGGUGAUCCUGCCCCGUUGUCGCCAAAACAAACCGAGGCACCCCGGCCCCGAGGGCAGGAAGGAGCCCCCGAGCCUCCCCGAUCGGGGGUCGAGGGGGAUCCCAUUACCAUUAGUGAUGGUUCUGGCGGCAACGGGACCUCGAGGGACGCCCAUCCUAUGGACGAGGAGGCCCAGACUUCUCUCGUCGUGGGACGGAUGCCCUGGCCUACCGGGCUUCGCUCCAUCGAGGAGCAGAAGAAGAAAGAAGAGGAGGAGCACGAGCAGGAGACGCGGCGGCAGCUGCAGGAGCAGGACCGCUGAUAAGAGCCGCAGGAGCUCGAGGAGCAACAGCAGCAGCAGCAUGGGGGCCAAGAAGAAAGACCGCUCGAGCCCCCGCCUCACAGUCCGCCCCAACCAGUACCACCGACGCCGCAAGAGCCCGGAGACCAGGAAGAGGGUUUGCCAGUUUUCGGCCCUCCAACCCCGGCGUGGCUCCGUCUAGGGGCACCCGCCGCGAUCUCGGCAGAGUCGGGGCGGGCAGACGGUGUGGUGGCGCUUGCCUGCAUGAUGCGCACCCCCGUCGACCCCGAGUCCGAGAUCAGGAGGACGAUCUACGGCAUGGACCGAAUUGCCCCAGGGUUCCUCCGGGAGCGUCGGGCGUGGGAGGUCCGCAUUCCCGCCGAGGAGGAUGAGGGUGGGACGUCGGGUAGUAAAGAUGGCACCUAGAAGACGGUGGAUGACGACGGGCGGUUCCCCUCCCUCGUCGACUUGUUCCUGCGCCAUGGGGGGUCCCUCGAGACCGUCGAGGACCUCAUUCGCGGCGUCAAGGCUUCCACUGAUCCGUCUGAGCCCAACAUCUUCCUGGACGAUCGGAAGGAGGCUGAGAAGUGGGAGCACGUUGAGGUGCUCCGCCUCUGGAUGAAGCACAUGGUGGGGCUCCUGUCAGACGUUGUAAACAACAGGCUGAGGCCAGCCUACAUUGUAAGUCUCCUAGCCUUUUAAUCUUUAGGGCGUUUGUUGGUUUUGGGUUCUAACUGCUCGAUCACCGGUUCACAGGAUUUGAAAGAGACCUCCCGUAUUAAGUCAAGCUUCAUUCACGCCACGAGGGGCGGCUGGGAGCAGCUCCCCCUCCUCAAAGACCAACUCCUGGAGUCGCAGGAGAAACGCCUCCAAGCCUAUAAAGAUCUCUUGGCGCUCGAGGAGGAGAAGAAGGAGAGGGAGGCUGCCCUGGCCGAGGCUCGAGAGGCCUCGAAGAAGGCUGUGGAAGAUGCCGUGCUGCUGAGGGAGCGGGCUCUGACGGUCGAGGAGGCUGCGUCCAAAGCCCGGGAGAAGGCCCUGUCCUACAAGAACGUCGUUGCUGAUCUGGACAAGGAGAAGGGCCUCCUCAAGACUGACUUGGACUCCCUUCGAGAAUCCUUCCAAAGGAUGAAGGUGGAGCAUGUGAAUGGCGAGAUCGCCAGGGGCGCCACGGAGGAAGCCAAGAAGAAGGCCCUCGAAGACCUCGAGGCGGAGCGGACUUGAUCUAGCAGGCUCUCUAACGACGUCGAACGUCUGAAGGGAUAGCUGUUGGAGAAGAGUGGAGCCAUUGCUCAGGCUGGCAAGGCGAUCGAGGAUCUUUGUGUUGCCAACACUGAGUUGGCGCGCUCCAACAAAGAGAUCGAGAGGGCCAACACCAAAUUAGUUGGCGAGAACACGGCCUUGGAGGAGAGUGUCCGUGGUACGUUUCUAUUGUCAGAUUUCUUUUCGAGGUGUGCUCGGUUUUAUCUAAAUUUUUUUGCGUUGGCAUUCACAGGGCUUAAAGACGAGCUCUUGGCCGCCCAAGUCGAGGCUCACAAUGCCCAGGCCCAGCUCGAGGGGGAGGUUGCUUUGAACCGUCAACUGCGGAUGGCGAUAAGCGAUCUCUCGACCUCUUGGGAAGUUGAGCCCUUGGACGAGUCGAAGGAGGAGGCUCGAGGCGACGCGCUGGUCGAUCAGCUGUGCUACUUAGGCGCGACGCUGAGAGAUCGGGUGCGUGACGCUCUCCAUAUCGGGGUAAAGCGGGCAAUGGCGGUUGUCUGCUCGGGCUUUUCCUACGAUAUGGAGGUGGUAUCUCAUGGCUUUGUUACCGAUAUCUCCAAGACUGACGCGGAGAACGAGGAGAGGCUUCAUGCCUUGAUCGACGACGUGGAGGUUCCUGGAGAUAGGCUGGCCAAGCUAUUUGAGCCCGAGGUGCUUCCCCCUGAGACUAGCUCAGGCGUAGGCGAGGGUGGUGAGGACCAUGCUGUGGACUAAGGCCUGCGAGCCUGCUCUAGGUGCCUGGGGCCCCUUGUAUAGUACUGUGUUAACUUGUCUUUAAGUAAUACAAUGUCUUUAAGUGGUUUGUUAAAUGUUUGUCUGUCUUUCCUCUCGAAGCUCCUUUAUUCCUUUUUGCGCCUAUGUUUGUUUUUCUCACUUGGUCUUUUGUUCGAGGCGGUCUCGAUUACCUCAAGGGUGAGGAGACGAGUAGAGUUUCCAUAGCCCGGGGGCGUAGGAGUUCUCAGGCUCGUUGUUUUUCGGUCCUUAAGGGGCUCGAGGUACCUUUACUACUCAACUGUAUGAGAUUGCCGAUAGAAACAAAAGGAUUACUUGGUUUUUUCGACACUUGGGGGGGUCACCCCCCUUGCUAGCCCCCGAGGGGGUGUCGACUAUGAUGGGUCAUAGUCGAUACUCCCUUCUAACGUUGAGACUUUUGAAAACGUAAGUCGCUCGAGGAAAAAACUUUAUUUAUUCAUUUAUUCAUUUACAAGGCCUUGGUACAGAAUGUACGCAGGAACAUAAAGCUUUGAAAUUCUAGGGGUAGAAUCGACAUAGCUGUUCGAUGUUCCACGCGUUGGUGAAGAUCGCCCCCUUUUCGUCCGCUAGCUUGUAUGUCCCUGGCUUCAAGACCUCGGCCACCACGUAUGGGCUCUCCCAAGGUGGAGUCAACUUGUGGCGUCCUUGAUUGCUUUGCCGUCGUCGUAGGACAAGGUCGCCCACGUUUAAGUCCCUCUUGCGCACGUGUUUGUCGUGGUAGCGUCGAAGUUUCUGCUGGUAUCUGGCAGAGUUGAGGAGGGCCAUGUCUCGAGCCUCCUCGAGUUGGUCGACCGCGUUUUCUCGAGUCUCCUUAUUUGAUUGUUCGUUGUAUGCUUUAAGCCGAGGGGAUCCAUACUCGAGGUCCGUUGGGAUCACAGCCUCAGAGCCAUAGACCAUGAAGAAUGGGGUGUAUUUUGUGGCCCUGCUUGUCGUUGUCCUUCGGCUCCAUAGGACUGAGGAAAGUUCCUCGACCCAUUUCUUGCCGAAUUUCUUCAAGCGAUUGUAGAUCCUUGGUUUGAGCCCUUGCAAAAUCAUGCCGUUGGCACGCUCGACCUGGCCGUUAGUUCGAGGGUGGGCCACUGCAGACCAGUUCACCCGAAUGUGAUGGUGAUCGCAGAAGUCCAAGAACUUUUUGCCGGUGAACUGAGUGCCGUUGUCAGUGAUGAUGACGUUGGGAAUCCCAAACCGGUGGAUGAUGUCGGUGAAGAAAAGGACAGCCUGCUCGGAGCGGAUGUUGGUAAUGGGUCGAGCCUCGAGCCAUUUGGAGAAUUUGUCGAUGGCCACCAACAAGUGGGUAUACCCCCCUUUUGCCUUUUGUAGAGGCCCUACUAAGUCUAGCCCCCACACCGCAAACGGCCAUGUGAUGGGGAUCAUCUGAAGAGCAUGGGUGGGCAGAUGUGUCUGUUUGGAGUAGAACUGACACCCAUGGCAUGAGCGCACGAGCUCGAUGGCAUCAGCUACGGCCGUUGGCCAGUAGAAGCCUUGUCGGAAGGCGUUCCCUACGAGGGUCCGUGGAGCAGCAUGGUGGCCACAAGCCCCCGAUUGUAGGUCCUCGAGGAGUUUCCGGCCUUCUUCCACGGUGAUGCAACGUUGCAAGACCCCCGUCGGGCUUCGUCGAUGUAGCUCAUUGUCCUCGCCGUAGAUUACAUAUGUCUUGGCUCAUCGAGCGAUACGGUGGGCCUCGGAUCGAUCUUCUGGCAACUCGCAGCGGAUUAGGCAGUCGAGGAACGGCGUGCGCCAGUCAAACGGUCGACCGGGCUGCUGUUCCACCUCCAUUACUUCAGCCGCCAUUAGUAGCGCUUCGACGUUGUCGGCCUGCUGGGCUGGAGCAGCUUCGACACCAGCCCCCGAGCCCAAGUCGACGGAUGGCUCAUGUAGAUCUCUUGAGAACGCGUCGUGCGGGAUCCUGCCUCGAGUCGACGCGAUCUUGGCGAGUUCGUCGGCUGCCUCGUUGUAGCGUCGGGCGACAUGGAUGAGCUCGAGGCCGUGGAACUUGUCCUCGAGUCGACGGACCUCCUUGCAGUACGCCUCCAUUUUCAGGUCGUGGCAGUUCGAGGCUUUCAUUACUUGGUCGAUGACGAGCUAGGAGUCGCCUCGAACGUCGAGGCGUCGAACUCCAAGCUCGAUGGCGAUCUUCAGACCGUUAACAAGAGCUUCGUACUCUGCAACAUUGUUGGACACAGCAAAAUGUAUCCUAAUGACGUACCUCAUAUGAACGCCCAGGGGCGAGAUGAACAGCAGGCCGGCCCCAGCUCCCGUCUUCAUGAGAUACCUGUUGAAAUACAUCGUCCAUAGCUCCGACUGAACGUGAGUCGGGGGAAGCUGGUAGUCUGUCCACUCCGCAACGAAAUCCACCAGGGCUUGUGAGUUGAUAGCCUUACGAGGCGCAUAAGUGAGAGUCUCACUCAUGAGCUCGACUGACCAUUUGGCUAUUCUUCCCGUGGCCUCCCUACUUUGGAUUAUCUCGCCCAGGGGGAAGGACGAGACCACCGUGAUAGGGUGGCCGAGGAAGUAGUGCUGCAGCUUGCGUCAGGCGAGGAUUGCGGCGUAGAUCAGCUUCUGGAUUUGGGGGUAACGUGCCUUGGUCUCCGAGAGCUCCUCGCUGAUGAAGUAGACCAGCCUCUGGACUGGCAACGCAAGUCCCUCCUCCUGCCUCUCGACAACCACAGCUGCACUGACGACCUGGGUCAUCGAGGCAAUGUAAAGGAGCAGUGGUUCUAUAGGUUGAGGUGGGACCAGGACUGGUGCUGAAGUUAGUGUUUUCUUCAGGUUUUCGAGGGCUUCCUCGGCCUCGGGGGUCCAAGAGAAACGCUCGACUUUCUUUAGGAGCCGAUACAAUGGCAACGCCUUUUCUCCUAACCUUGAGAUGAAACGACUCAGCGCUGCUAAGCAUCCCGUGACUCUCUGCACACCCUUGAUGUCUCGAAUCGGCCCCAUUCUUGUGAUGGCCGAGACCUUCUUGGGGUUGGCCUCGAUGCCGCGCUGGGAAACGAUGUAUCCAAGGAGCAUGCCUCGAGGUACGCCGAAAACGCACUUCUCGGGGUUGAGUUUGAUCUGGUUAGCGCGUAAGCAGCUGAAAGCGAUCUCGAGGUCCUAGAUCAGGUCUCCCCGCUGCUUUGACUUGACGACGAUGUCGUCGACAUAGGCCUCGACUGUCGACCCUAUGUGCUUGCCAAACACGUGGAGCAUGCAGCGUUGAUACGUGGCUCCCGUGUUUCGAAGCCCGAACGGCAUGGUUAUAUAGCAAUACAUCCCAAAAGGUGUGAUAAAAGACAUCGCGAGCUGGUCGGACUCUUUCAUUUUUAUUUGAUGGUAACCGGAAUAUGCAUCAAGGAAAGAAAGGGUUUAACAUCCCGUAGUAGAAUCAACAAUUUGAUCAAUACAUGGUAAUGGAAAAAGGAACUUUCGGACAUGCUUUAUUUAAACUCGUAUAAUCGACACACAUCCUCAUUUUCCCAUUCUUUUUCUUAACUAGUACAGGGUUUGCUAACCAGUCGGGAUGGUGAACCUCCUUGAUGAAUCCGGCCGCCAAAAUCUUGUGGACCUCCUCGCCAAUGAUCUUGCGCUUCUCCUCGUCGAAUCGGCGCAACUGUUGCUUCACUGGCUUGGAACCGGCUCGAAUUUCCAAGGAGUGCUCGGCGACUUCCCUCGGUAUGCCUGGCAUGUCCGAGGGACUCCAUCCAAACAUAUCGGCAUUCGCAUGGAGAAAGUCGACGAGCACAACUUCUUAUUUGGGUCGAGGUCAGCGCUGAUCGUCAGCACCUUGCCAUCGGAGCUGUUGGGGUCGAGCGGGAUCUUGUUGGUUCCUUCCGCUGGCUCGAAGCUGCUGGCGUGGCGCUUGGGCUCUGGAGCCUCAGCGGCCAGGGCCUCGAGCUUCGAGGCGAGCUCAGUGGAACUCUCGACCGCCUCCCCAUACUCGACGCAUUCAACGUCGCACUGGUAUGCAUGCUCAAAGGAGGUGCUGACGGUGAUGACACCCUUGGGUCCGAGCAUCUUCAGCUUUAAGUAGGUGUAGUUGGGUAUAGCCAUAAAUUUGGCGUAGCCCAGGCGCCCGAUGAUGGCGUGGUACAUGCCCCGGAACCCAACCACCUCAAAGGUGAGGGUCUCCUUUCUGAAGUUGGCCGCCGUGCCAAAGCAGACCGGUAAGUCGAUUCGACCCACCGGCAGCGCCUUCUUCCCUGGCACGACGCCGUGGAAACUGCCGGCGCUUGGUUGGAGCCGCCCCCUGUCGAUGCCGAGGAGGUCGAGGGUCUCGAGGUAGAUGAUGUUGAGGCUGCUGCCGCCAUCCAUCAGCACCUUUGAAAGCCGGGUGUUGACGAUGAUGGGGUCGACGACGAGCGGGUAGAUGCCUGGGGCAACUACCUUGUCUGGGUGGUCCUCUCGAUCGAAGGUGAUGGGGGUGCUCGACCAGCAGAGGUACUGGAGCACCGCCAUUCUUGCCACGAAGACCUCACGGCAUUCCCUCUUGCGCUGCCUUGUGGUCAACUACGUCGAGGAGCCACCAUAGAUCAUGUAGCAGUCGUGGACGGCUGGGAAGCCGUCGUCGUCUUUGUUGUCCUCCUUGUUGCCGCCCUUCUCCUUCUUUGGUUCGUCGCGCGCGUCCUUUUUGAACCCCAGACCGUCGAAAUGCUUUUUCAGCAUACGACAGUCCUUGAGCUUGUGGUUGGCUCCUCCCUUAUGGUACGGGCAUGGCUCCUCUAGCAUCUUAUUGAAGAUGCCUCCAUUUGGAGGGCCUCGAGGCCUCUUGCGUUCCAUGGCGGUGACGAGAUCAUCGUCGAAGUCUUCCCUCUGGAACUGCCACGCUUUCUGCUUCUUCUUGUUCUUCUUGGGCCCUCGACUGGGGGUCCCAUCUUCAUCGGUGGGCUGCUUGCCUUUCCUUCCUUCACAGCUAAAGAAGGCACCGACCGCUUCCUCCCCUGCUGCAUAAUUCGCCACUACGUCCAUCAGCUCAUCGACGGUCUGAGGGCGGUUCCGGCCCAAUUCCCGCACCAAUUCUCGACUGGUGGUACCAGAGACAAAGGCUAGGAUGACAUCGUGGUCGGGGAUAUGCGGUAGCUCGGUGCGCUGCUUCGAGAAGCGUCGAGCAUACUCCCGAAGAGUUUCUCCUAACUUCUGCUUGCACUUGCUGAGGUCCCACGAGUUCCCAGGUCGUAUUUAGGUCCCUUUGAAAUUACCCUCGAAAACCCUAACCAAAUCGACCCAGUCGUGAAUCUGAUCGGCUAGAAGUUCCUCGAGCCACCGACGGGCGGUGUCGGAGAGGAAAAGCGGUAGCUGUCUGAUGAUGGCUCGAUCAUCUCCUCGAGCACCUCCUAGCUGACAGGCCAGCCUGAAAUCGGCCAGCCACAACUCUGGUUUGGUUUCACCGUUGUACUUUGCGAUGCUGGUCGGGGGUCAGAACGGACUGGGCAGGGGCGUGCUGCGGAUUGCCCUGCUGAACACCCGUGGGCCUGGUGGCUCGGGGGCCAUCCGGUCCUCAUCGCUGUCAUACCUCCCACCGUGAUGUGCGCUGUAACCGCGCUCUUCCGCGUCCCCAUGCCGACGGCGUCGAUUCUCUUCAAUGUCGCGUCGUGCGUCGUGUCGACGUUGGUUGUCGACGGGGAGGACGAGCGUGGUCUUUUUUGCUCGGGGGGUGGCUGUUGAUGAACCGACACCUCCUUUUCGUUUUGGGCUGGCUCAUCGUGCUUUUCAGCGGCAGCUCCUCGACGUCGUGAAGCCGAGCUUUUGGCUUGUUGAACUGCCGCCACUUGGAGCAGAGUCUGCACCUCAUCUCGAAUGCGUCGAGCUUGGGAGUUCGAUGGUUCUGGCAUGUUGCGCAACAGCAUUGUCGCUGCCACUACAUUCUGGCCUGCUCGAGGGAAACGGCUGACGGGUUGCUCUGGCUCUGCGUCUCCAACGAUUUGCCGGUGUACCUCUCAGAGCUCGUCUACGGACACUUCCGCCAGGCGAGUAAGGCAAGUCUUGCUCGAGGAUUUGCUCGAGCAGGACGAGGCACUCACGAUCCUCGUCAAGCUUUUUCUUGAGCUCUCGUAACUGCGCAAGUUGCGCGGCCCUGUCUUCCUGUGGAAGUGGGUCGACCUGUCCGUCGUUCCCAGGCGUCCUGAGGUCUUCUCUUGCUGUAGGGGGUCGACCACCGGCAGCAGCAUCUUGUGUCUCGUCGGUAGUUUCUACCGCUCCGUCGACAUGAUAGCAUUCCCUAGAAGGGUCGUAGCUAUCGGUCUCGGAGUCGGAAUCCGGUUCGGCGGCGUAGAAACAUCCACGUCCCUCCUCCAGCAGCCACUUCCUAAGCGAGGUGAUCGUAUAUCGCCCAGGGCCUAGGCGUCGGAUGCCUCGUACCUGGGAGAAACCUGGCAGCUCGGACGUCGGCUGCUGUGCUUCAGAGUCACGUGGGAGGACCACUGGUCUCUCUACGUACGUCUGGGCGUUUGGGCAUAUCGCCCUGGCGAGUGACGCUACGGCAUUGUCCAGGCCAAACGGUAAGGCUCCUCUUGAGGUGAACAGCCCAUGUGGAAGUAGCCUGGCGGUGGGGGAGGGUGCGCGGGACGCGUCACCUCCCGUCAUCGUGUGAUCAUCACGGCGCUGAGCCGUCGCGCCCGUGGCGCAUGGGGCUAUCGGCUCUCGUGCCGCCUCCUACCUCGCACGGACAGCCGGUCGUGGCGAGGCAGAUGGGCGACGGUGGUGCUGUCCACGCCUCUUCUUGGGUGGGGACGCGUGGUGGUGAGUACGUCUUGGGGCCCUCAUCCGGGUCGGCGCAACGCGGGCUCCUCCCGGCCCUUUGAUCGAGAGCAAGAUCAUGUCAUAGCCGGAGCCAGUAGACAUGAACUCGAGACUCCCAAACCAAAUCACCGUGGAGCGUGGAAUCGGUGAAGAAAGAGUGGCCAUCUGGAAAGGAGUGGGAAAUCGAUGAAAAACACGCAGGACCCCUACCUGGCGCGCCAACUGUCGGUGUUUUCCCCACGGGGGGUCACACCAAUGAGUGAAUUUGUAUGCGUGCUUCCCUUUCCCAGAUGGUGAUGCAAAAAGGCACAAGGAUUUAUCCUAGUUCGGGCAAGAGAAGGCCCUACGUCCAGCGGGGGGGAGAGAGUUUGUAUUAUUUUGCACCUAAGUGCUUGUACAGGGGCGAAUACAAGCGUGGUAUGGUGUAUGGGAGUUCUACUGCGUAUGAGCGUGGUGUUACCUUGUUCCUCAUGUCCUGUGUUCACUCUUCGGUCUCCCCUUUUAUAGUUCCAAGGAGAGACCUAGGGUACAUAUAUAGGUGACAGACUAGGGGUUGAUAGAGGCAUGGCGCGCUGACCUACUCGAGGCUUCCGUACCGGCGUGGUCUCGAGCCAUUCCGUCCUGGUAGCUUGAUGAUGAUUACGCGUGCCCUUAUAUCCUGCUCUGUACGCUGUCUUGGACCGGUUUGUCCGUUGCACGCCUGUACGUCACGGCGGCUGAUACGUCAGAGUGGUGGCAGUGCCGUCAGUCGACGCCCAACCCUUCCCUAGGAAGGAAGCAUGUCUGGUCGAGGGUCGGACGCCAGGUAGCGCCUUGCUAUCCAGAGUAUUGACUUUUGGCGUCUCGAGGGGGUCCUGACUAGACGCUCCAUCCCUGCUUCCUGCGUCCUGACACGCUCUGGGUCGUUUGGUGGGGAAGGCUGCAAAAAGAAUGACGAGACGGAUGCCUGUUCCCCAUGACGCUUCCCGUGACUGGCGUGUUAGGUGGGAAUGCGACAGGCGCAUUAAAUGCUCUGGCUCCCGUGCGCGUGUCAGGCGGCGGGCGGCGUCCUGGCGCUCGACGCCCGCCGAUUCGCUCGAGCCUGUUUCCGUAUUCGACGGUAGUUGGUGCUCAAGCCCUGCUUGAUUCGCUCGACGCCCUUUCCGUCUUCGAGGCUGAGGUCGUCGAUGACUAUACGCGUGAUUGUGUAGAGCGUCGAGUUGGGGAUCUCGACUUUCGUUCGGACGAUCUCGUUAUGUACAUCAGUUGGGAUACCCCUUACUGAUAUCCUCGACAGUAGUAUUUGGUAAGGGACGGGGCAGCAAACCUGUUCCCAAAGAUGCUCAAGAACAUGCACCCAUGUGGAAGAAGAAGUCCAUAUUUUGGGAGCUACCCUACUGGCAUGUCCUAGAGGUCCGCCACGCGUGAUGCACCUUACAAAGAAUCUAUGUGUGAAUCUUGUCAGAUUCAUGGGUGUCUAUGGGAAACCUAAGGAUUCACUUGAAGCACGACAGGACUUGGAGGAAAUAAAAGAAUGAGGCAACCUGAAUCAGGAAAAGACAGAUGACGGGCGCCAGUACUUAAGCCCUGCUUGCUAUACUCUGAGCAAAGAAGAGAAGGAACGCAUGUUUGAAUGUCUGAAGAGCUUCAUGGUCCCAUCUGGAUUCUCCUCCAAUAUAAUGAGAGUAAUUAAUGUGCAAGAGAAGAAGUUCCUAAACUUGAAGUCCCAUGACUGCCAUGUGCUUAUGACGCAAUUGCUUUCUAUUGCUCUAAGAGGAAUUGUACCUCCGCAUGUACGUCUAGCCACCAUGAAGUUAUGUGCAAUCCUCAAUGCAAUUUCUCAGAAGACAAUCAAUCGAGAUGAACUUGCUACUCUGUAGAAUGAUGUCGUUCAAUGUCUCGUUAGAUUUGAGUUGAUGUUCCCUCCAUCCUUCUUUGAUAUCAUGACACACCUCCUAGUUCACCUGGUCAAGGAGAUUAUAAAUCUCGGUCCUAUGUUCCUUCACACCAUGUUCCCCUUUGAGAGGUUCAUGGGUGUUCUGAAGAAAUAUGUUCAUAGCCGCUCUCGGCUAGAAAGAAGCAUUACCUAGGGCUAUGGCACAAAGGAGGUUAUAGAGUUCUAUGUUGACUUUAUUCCAGACAUUGACCCAAUUGGCAUUCCUGAAUCACGACAUGAGAGUAGACUCAGUGGCGAGGAGACACUUGGGAAGAAAACAUAUAUCGGUACAGAGAGCAAUUACUUCAAUAAAGCACACUACACAGUUCUACAGAACUCCUCGCUGGUGGAUCCGUAUAUCGAGGUACAUAAGGAUUUCAUUCGAUCCAAGUGGCCUGGGAAGAAUGAAGCUUGGAUUAGGCAUCAUCACAUGGAAACCUUUGGCGAUUGGUUGCGAAAAGAAUGUCAGGUUGAUGAAAACAUAGAUGAGCAGCUUUAUUUGUUGGCCAGACAGCCAUCAUGGCAUAUCAGCAUGUACAAAGGAUACGAGAUCAAUGGGAAUACAUUUUACACAUUAGCCCAAGAUAAAAGGAGCACCAACCAAAAUAGUGGUGUACGAGUAGAUGCCACAGAUCCAAAUGGGAACAAACAAACAUACUAUGGCCAAAUACAUGACAUAUGGGAACUAGACUAUGUAGCAAAUUUUAAAGUUCCUUUGUUCCGAUGUAAAUGGGUGAAGAUGACCGGAGGUGGGGUUGUUAACGGUCGAUAACACAAACUUUUAUUAGAACUUUAGACCCGAAGGAAAACAUGAAAACACACUAGUCCAGGGUUUUAUUUGACAAUUUCCACUAGUUUUGCAUAUUCUAUAUUUUCUAGGGUGAAUUUUAGGAAAGCUGAAAAGAGGGAUUCUAGUGCAGAAUAAACAUGAAACUUAUCCGCUACAAGAAACAUCACAGAAAGACUCAAGAAGGAUGGAGAAGACACACGAAGCAACGGGGGGCCUGUUGGUCGAUAGGUGGGACCAGCCGGCCCCACCAUAGCGCCGGCAGGUGCCCCCUCUAGGGUUUUGACCCCUCUCUUCUGGAAACUUCCUCCACCACCUACGAGGAGUCAUCUCGGCCCUUGGUUAAGGCGGCUUGAUCCUACAGCGCACGCGCAUCCCAACCGGACUAUUAUUCAUUAUUCAUCAAGGCCUCAAGCCAUCAAGCAUCAAGCGCCUUCAAGUUCAUCAAGAGCCUUCUAGUUCAUAGUUCUAGUUAGUCAGAUUAGAGUUAGAGGAUCUAGUUCUUCAUCAGGAUCUAGAGCCCCUAGCAUUGGUCUAGAGCGCAAGAGUUCGGUAAUAGAUCUAGUUCUUACUUUGUAGUAUUCAAUUGUAUAUUAGGGAGACUUUAUUCUUAAUAGAUUCAUAUGUUCUUAAUUGCAAUGGUCAUUGUCUACUUUGAUUAUAUGUCUAGGAUAGUUGGUUUGAUCUUAUUGAAUUCAUGUAAUUGCUCGUAUAGCGUUUACCUAAAAGAUCUUUGGGUAGAUGGUAGACAAUAUGUAGACGUGGUGUCUAGAUAUGGGAUGUGUGGUAGACCGCAUAGGUGACAGCUGUGUUGGAUCCUCUGUAGUCCACCCUCCAUACAUAGGACUAGCAUGGGCACGGUCACGAAGGAGGUGACCCUUGUGUCUUAAUACCCUCAUUAGUUGAUGCCUCUUUACAUGUGAUUACGAUAUAGGGUUAGCUCAACAAUGGUUUCUAGAUGUAAUUGCACUAAAUAGAGUUAUACAGUGAUGUAGUUAUAGAAUUACCUUAGAUCCAACUCCCUAGUUUUUCCAAUGGCUAACUGUGAUUAUGACUAGUAGAUGCUCUGAUGAUUAUCCUUAAUUAUAAUAUUUGAUGAUUAUGCUAUCAUUAUUAUUUACCCAUAUUUAACUUGUGACCUCUGCCUAUUAUGAGUAGAUUAGGCAACCUUGGUAAUAUCAUUUAUUCAUCCUAUAUAGUUUCUUAUCAAUAUAAUAGAAUAUAGUUUAAUACUUAGCCUUCCUAGUGGUAUAAAUAUAAAUCGACAACCUGGAUACUUCCCUAUGUAAAAUGCUACAACGGUAUAAUUAUUUGUAUGCCUGCAGAACUCAUUUAGUUUACAAUCACAUUAUAUUCAUAUCUUUUAUAUCUGCCUAGUCACAUUAGUACAUGUGAAUCUAUAAUAAUUUCCUAGCAAUACAAAUAGGGAUGACAACGUACUUCAUGUUUAGGAAUGUUAGUAAUUAAGAAGUGGCUAGUUGCUAAUUGACAAGUUAAUUAUUUACCGUGCAUUUCUGGCGUUGUUGCUAGAGGUAGGGCUUAUCUCAAUUUUUAUCAAUGAUGGUAGUAAAUGUCCACAAGCAUUUUUGGCGCCGUUACCGGGGAAGGUGUUGGGCAUUCUUAACGUCACUACCAAAAGUAGACCUAGUUUUCUAAUUCUGAGAACGACGCCAAAAAUGUCAAACCUAUCCCUCAUGCCACUUAAGCCAAGUUGUCAUCCGCAGCAUGACAUAAGAGACACGGUAUUGAAAUAUGCAAUUGCACUUCUAAAUAAAUAAUAAAUGAGAUCUGCAAGCGCACAGAUUAAUACCGAUGUAGCAUUUUAACCGGGAAGUAUUCCAGGUAUCGUUAUUUAUAUUUUUACCACUGGGAAGGGAUUGGUAAACAUCAAUGUUGAUUAUAGAAUGAAAUAUAGAAUUGAGUAUCUAUCAUUGCAUGUAUAAUUGAGAACAGUUAUCUAUCUAUGUCAUACAGGGAUAAGUGUCACAUAAAAGAUAGAUAAAGUAUGAAUGGUGACAAAGAUAAUUAAUCUGAUCAGCAUAACUUAGCCACAUAUAAAUAUGAUAAGCACCUCAAUAGAUAUUCUAGCAAGUCAUUAGCAUGGAAUUAGAAUGAACUACAAGAAUAUUUCCUAAGCAUAUCAUAGUUAGUGCAAUUAUACAUGGCAAUUAUUGCGAGACAAGACUACGCCCAUGCAUAGUGAUAUUAUCAAAGAAUAUGAGAAACAUCGCAAUCACUCUCCUGUAAUAAUGUUGCUCUGCCAGACCAAUACAUGAGAGGGGAACUAUAUAAGAAUCAAUGGAGCUGUCACUACCACGAACUACCCCGCGAUCUGGCAUAUCGGGUACAAUCAUAGAUAAAUACGGUAUAGGCACCAUGCCCACACAAUACUUAUCAUUUACCCACUCUACACAUGGAUAGAUGCUAUACGAUCCUAAACAUGUAUAUAAUUCCAAUCUAACUAAGCCAAGCAUAUAACUAUGAUAAACUAAGAACAAUAUAAUUGCGAAUAUAAACAAGUAGAGCAAAGUCAUGAUCAAUAUAUUUAAGUAGAACAAAGUCAUAUUCAUAAUAUUGAAGAACAAAGAUGAACAAUUGAAAAAUAGUAGAGGAAUUACCAAGAUUCCUCUUGACAGAUCUGGAAACCAAUCGAAGAUUGACUCCUUCUAGUUCUAAUCCUAUGUAGCUAAGCUAAACUAGAGAUCUAAUUGAUGUGGUGGCUCUAGGGCUUGAUCAGAGGCUUCUUCUCCCAAGAUGAAUAAUGAAUUAGGUGUCAGAGGUCCUCUCCUCCAGGGGCCAGGGGGUCUGCUUAUAUAGUCCUUCCAAGUGAAUGUGGGCCGUUGGAUCAAACCGACAUUAAUCGCACGAUUUUCCUUGAUCCUUUAGGUCGGUGGAGCAUGAUCCGCGAAGUUGAAGCUGAUUGGCUCUGAGGCCAAGGCGGGCGCCCAAGGGGGGAGGGCGGGCACCGUGCCCCCGAGCUCGUCCGCUCUCUCGUUCAUUCCCGUGACUUCUGGACUCUUCUAGAUGUUGAAUAAUUGCGCGGCACGUUAAUAUCUCUAUGUAAACCCGACGUGUGGGCCUUUCUUCCAUAAUUCCUGAUAACCCCCUGCAGAAAUAGACGAACACCAAAACUCGUCUAAUUCUGUCAGAUAAAACCCUAAGUCUGGAUGUCGAUUGCAUUCGGAUCCUUUUCUUUGUUUAUUUGAUAAUUAAAUUUGAUACUUAAGGACCGUCAACAAACUCCCCUAAGCUUACCUCUUGCUCGUCCCUGAGCAAGGAUAAUCUCAGUGAUGGAUCAGAAGUUGCUGCAAUGCCUUUAAAAGUUGACGGUACACAUGCUUUCAAAUGAGGUCUCAUUUCUGAGUUAAAGUAAACUACCAAGACUUAAAACUUAUUCAUUUUACCUAUUACCAUGGGACUUGUAACCGUCACUUCUGUCUUGAGUAGUUAAAAGAUAGAACGGUCUAGUCAAGUGCCAUGUCUCUUAUUCUUGAUCAGCUAUAGCUCUGGAGUUUUUGUAGAUUUUCAAAUAAAACUCAGAGAUUCCUUGUAUGACUCUCUCAGAUCUCUCUUUUGUGGUAUUUCUGGAUCCUUACCAAGGCAGUGAUGGUAUAUGCCUUCUCUCAAAGUAUGUAGUAUUUGUGGUAUAAGGCAUAGUGACAUUGCCUUCUCUCUCAUCCUACUCUAAUAAGGCUUUUAAUAUCUGGAGCUCAUAGGUGGGAGAUAAAGUAUACAUACUUACAUGACAUUUAUUGUAUAGUCAAACCAUGGAUCCAGACAAACAAGUCAAUAAGUCAAAUCAAGAUGUGCAUGUGUGGCGAAUGAAUGGUGUAUGGUGAUGAUAACAAUGGUGAAAGUCUAAUUCUACUUUUGCUCUUUUGAGGGAAUACAUAUCUUUCUUGCUCUUUGAAACUUUUGAGGAGAAUGAGAUGCUCUAUAUUUUCUUUUACUUUCCUCUCAGGUGGGUAUCUUGUACCCCUAAUUCUACUGUCGGACACUUGUCCAUUUUUACCUCUCGUCUCACUUUUUCUUUUUCUUCAAGGUUCCGGGCACUUGCCCCUUUUUAUUUCCUCGUAUUUUUUUUCUUUUUUAGAGCACUCAUUUCCUGAAAUAAUAUAGCAAGUGGCAGUAACCAAGAUAACUUGAGCAUUUAUUUCACAGGGAAAAACAGAAAUAUUUUUGGCUAUUCUCUCCCGGAUUAGGAGUAGAAUAUUUUUGGGUGGUUCUGGAGAUGGAAAUUGGUGGAUAUAUGUGGAUGUGUACUUCCGGAGUAGAAGCAGCAUGUGUGAGUGAACGUGCAAGUGAAUCUUAAUUUUAACCACAUGACAAGCUCCUAAGGGUCUACACAGCUUGACCACACUCAAUGCUCAUAAGGAGUAAAAAGUAAAUGUGUGGCUCAAAGUCUAGCAAGCAUGUAUAUAUAUGGCUGUGGUAGGAAUUUAAAGUCUCAUCAUGCAGGAACUCAUCAUGUGAUAUUUUUAAAGAUUUUCAAAGAUAAAAUUCUCCGGAAUUUCUGGCAUCUCUAGGAACAGAUAAACAGCAGCUUAACAUUCUCAUAUCAUAUCCGUUAACAACUUAGGCUUUGGAUCAAGUUUUCUUCCCACAAGUUCAAAUUAUGAGCAAGCUUUAAAUAAUAACAGUUAUGUCUAAACUUGAGAGAGAACUUCAAAUUUGAAAAUUAGGCAGAGCAACUAUUCAUCAUAUGUGUUGACGGUCCUUAAGUAUCAAAUUUAAUUAUCAAAUAAAUAAAGAAAAGGAUCCAAAUGAAAUCAACAUCUAGACUUAGGGUUUUAUCUGACAGAAUUCUACGAGUUUUGGUGUUUGCCUAUUUCUGCAGGGGGUUAUCAGGAAAUACGGAAGAAAGACCCACACGUCGGGAUUACAUAGAGAUAUUAACGUGCCGCGCAAUUAUCUUACAUCUAGAAGACUCCAGAAGCCACGGGAAGAAAGCGGAGGCCGAACGGGGCCAGAGGCAGGGCACCCGCCCUCCUUCCCUGGGCGCCCGCCCUGACUUGGAGUCCAAACAGGACUCUGUUUCAUGGGAGAUCUCCACCGACCUAAAGGAUCAAGAAUAACCGUUCAAUCAAUGUCGGUUUGAUCCAACGGCCCAUAUUCACUUGAAGGGACUAUAAAACCAGACACCCUGGCCCCUGGAGGAGGGAGCCUCUCAACCCUAAUUCAUUAUUCUCAAGGGAGAAGAAGCCACUGAUCAAGAUUAGAGCCACCACAUCAAUUAGACAUCUAGAUGAGCAUAGCUACAUAGGAUUAGAACUAGAAGGAGUCAAUCUUCGAUUGGUUUCUGGAUCUGUCAGGAGGAUUCUUGGUAAUUCUCUAAUUGUGCUUCUAAUUGUUCUUCUAAUUAUCUUUGUUCUUCAAUAUUAUGAAUAUGACUUUGUUCUACUUCAAUAUAUUGCUUAUGACUUUGCUCUACUUGCUUAUAUUCAAGAUUAUAUUGUUCUUAGUUUAUCAUAGUUAUGUACUUGGCUUAGUUAGAUUGGAUCUAUAUACAUGCUUAGGAUCGUAUAGCGUUUAUCCAUCGGAUCCAUGGGUAAAUGAUAGAUAUUGUGUAGGCGUGGUGUUUAUACCGUAUUUAUAUGCGAUUGUACCCAAUAUGCCAGAUCGUGGGGUAGUUCAUGAUAGUGACAGCUUCAUUGAUUCUUAUAUAGUCCCCCUCUCGUGUAUUGGGCUGGCAGAGCAAUAUUAUUUCAGGGGAGUGAUUGCUAUGUUUCUCAUUUACCUUGCUAAUAUCACUAUGCAUGGGCGUAGUCUUGUCUCACAAUGAUUGCUAAGUAUGCUUGCACUAAUUAUGAUAAUGCUAGACUAUAUAGUUGAGAAUAACUUAGGAAAUAUUCUUGUAGUUCGUUCUAAUACCAUGCUAAUGACUUUCUAGAGUAUCUAUUUGAAGUGCUUAUCAUAUUUAUAUGUGGCUAAGUUAUGAUCAGAUUAAUUAUCUUUGUCACUAUUCAUUACUUCAUAUAUCUUUUAUGUGACACUUAUCCCUGUAUGAAAGAGUUAGAUACAAUGUUCUCAAUUAUAUAUGCAAUGAUAGAUACUCAAUCUCAUAUUCUAUUCUGUAAUCAAUAUUGAUGAUUGUUAAUCCCUUCCCAGUGGUAAAAAUAUAAAUAAUGAUACCUGGAAUACUUCCCAGUUAAAAUGCUAUAUCGGUAUUAAUCUGUGCGCUUGCAGAUCCCAUUCAUUAUUUAUUUAGAAGAGCAAUUGCAUAUUUCAAUACCGCGUCUCUUAUAUCAUGUUGGGGAUGACAACUUGGCUUAAGUGGUAUGAGGGAUAGGUUUGGAAUUUUUGGCACCGUUACUAGAAUUAGAAAACUAAGUCUACUUUUGGUAAUGAUGUUAAGAAUACCCAACAAGCAUUUUUGGUGCCGUUGCCGGGGAAGGUUGAUUACUAAUCAGGAAUGAAUAAAGGAUUUUGAGUUAUCAUAAGUAUUACUAAUAUGAUUGAGCUUAUCUAUUCUCUCAUACAGUUUUACCCCGAUAUUAUCUAUUUUUAUCUUAUGCAGGGGAAUGUAUGAAUAGAAGACAUCUUCCAGGAAAUUUUGUUGACAAUCCCGAAGCAUUAUUCAAGAAGACAAGAGCCAAGCUCAAGAAGAGAUCAUCAACACUUCAGCAAGAAGCUUCAUCCAAUCAAGAAGAUCACCGGAACUUGUCUUCAGAGUUCGAAGCCAUGGCGAACAAAUCAAUCCGCGAGUUCUCAGCUCCCACUACGGACAACAUCCGCACUGGACCUGCUGCAGAGAUCGAUGGCAACUUUGAGCUCAAGCCUGGACUUAUCAAUAUGGUGCAAUCCAACCAGUUCUGUGGGAAGGCACAUGAAGAUGGUAGUGUUCAUCUCCAACACUUCCUGGAGAUUUGCAACACAUUUACCAUAUCAGGAGUUUCCAGAGAUGCUAUACUACUUUGCCUCUUCCCAUUCUCACUGUUAGGAAGAGCGAAGCAGUGGUUCUACGCUACAAAGGAGAAGAAUACUACGUGGGCACUCUGCUCAACAAACUUCCUGGCUAAGUUCUUUCCCAUGGGCAAGACCAAUGCUCUCCGUGGGAAGAUUACAAGUUUUCAGCAACAAAAUGAUGAAUCUAUUCCAGAAGCAUGGGAGCGCUUUCAAGACUACAUCCUAGAAUGUCCCCAUCAUGGAAUAGAGAGUUGGCUAUUGAUGCAGACGUUUUAUCAUGGACUCGGCAACAGUGCCUGAGAGACCAUGGAUGCUGCAGCUGGAGGAGCAUUCUUAUCACUUACCAUAUCACAAGCCACAGCUCUUGUGGAGAAGAUGGCGUCCAAUCAAAGCAGGAAUGAAGAAAGGACCCAGACACGCAAGAGAGGUGGAGGUAUGCAUCAGCUCAAGGAGGUAGACAUGCUGUCUGCAAAGCUAGACCUGCUCAUGAAGAAGCUCGAUGAUAGAGCUGGAGAUAAGAAAGAAGUUAUGCACAUCUACGACUCUCACAUGACUUGUGAGGAGUGUGGAGAUACUGGACACUCAGGCAAUCACUGCCCUGAGAUGCUUGAGGAUGUGAACUACAUCAACAACAACAACAACUACUACUACAACCGUCCUCAACAAAAUCAAGGUUGGAAUCAAUAGAGGCCUAACUACUCACGUAAUUAUCAAGGUAACAAUUCUUACAACAAUAAUAAUAAUUUUCCACCUCUGAGAGAGUUAGUGUCUAAUCAAGGAAAGCUAAUGGAUAACCUAUCUAAGAAAUUGGCAUCUAAUGAUAAAAUGCUAGAAAAUAUAAAUAAUAGAAUGGAUAAUUUCUGUACUGCCAUCAAGAAUCAAAUUAGCUUUAAUAAAAUGAUUGAAUCUCAAUUAAAUCAAAUAGCUGCUGCUGUUCCUACUACUAACCCCGGUAUACCAUCACAACCGGAAGGAUUGGAAUCUGCAAAUCUUGUAGACAUGUUUGAUGCAGGUAAUUAGAGUAACCCCAUCACUGAAUUCACUACUGACCUUCUGCCGGUCAAGAGAGGCGACCCAGGACGCCCCGUCAUCCCGAUCUCCAUCGGCAUGGUGGACGUCCCAGAAGCACUCUGCGACUUUGGCUCUAGUGUCAACAUUAUACCUAGGGUACUCUAUGAAAAUUCUUUACAUAUCCUUUAUUAGAAACAACCAUGUGUUUGCACUUUGUAGAUUAGGCAUUAAGUUUUCCAAAAGGAAUAUUGAAUAACCUUUGUGUCCUAGUUGGUACCUUGUAUGCCCCAGCAGACUUCGUGGUGAAAGAGACCGGUAAUGAUGAGAGAGCACCCAUCAUCUUAGGGAGGCCAUUCUUAAACACCUCGGGAGCAGUCAUCUACGCCAGUGCUGCCAAGAUCAGUUUCUACAUAAAAGGGAGGAAGGAGAUGUUUUUCUUCAAGAACAAGACUACACAAAUCCCAGAUCAAUCCAGACAUGAAUCAAGGAAGAGGACCAGCAGGAGGAACAGGAACAAGCAAGUGUGGACCGAGUCAGCUAAGAUGGUCACUGCAGUUCAUGGAGGCCAAGAUCAACAGCUUAAGUGACCAUUGUUGACCAAGAAGGACGACCUAGGAAUGCCAAGCAUCUAUUGCUCAAUAAAUGGAUACAACUUCUACAAGACGUUUUGCGACACCGGAUCGGGCGUCAACAUAAUGGCCGCAGUCACCUAUCGGCUCUUGUUCGGAACCAUGCGCCUAAAACCAACAUAUAUUCAGUUCCAAAUGGCAGAUCAGACAUUUCGAGAAGUUAAAGGAACAGUAACUGAUGUCCCAGUCAAAAUAGACGAUCAUUUUGUCUACACAGACUUUCAGGUUAUUGACAUGGUAGAAGAUGAGUACGAUCCACCCAUCAUCCUUGGAAGACCGUUCCUCAGCACCGUUAAAGCAAUCAUCUACAUUGGAACUGGAGAAGUCCAUAUGCACUUCCCCUCAGAGAAGGUACACCGUUAUUUUACCGACCCUAACUACAUCUUUGAAGAAUCUAAGCAAAGGAUAACUACCAAGUUUACCUCUUGGCAAGUCGUUCGUUGUUUUUAAGUCCUCCGAACAGGACUCUCUGCUUUCUUAGUUGUAAUGGGAUUCACUGUAUGGCGUAGUCGGUGCUUCCGGCGGCGCCUCCUCUUCAUGUAUAGUUAUCUUCUCUCUCCACACCGGACUUGGUGCUACGGUCUCCUCAGGAUAGUUCUGUUCAAGUUGUAUGUCUUCAGACCUUACCACUUCUCCUUCGUAGUCUGCCCAUCCGUCCUUGAUGAUUUGCCUCCUCUGGUUGCGGUUGCGUCGUCUUCUUCUUGUCCUGACCUGCUUAGAAUCUUCAACUAUAUAGUUAGGGUCACUAAAAUAGCGGUGUACCUUCUCUGAGGGGAAGUGCAUGUGGACUUCUCCGGUUCCAAUAUAGAUGAUUGCUUUAACGGUGCUGAGGAAUGGUCUCCCAAGGAUAAUAGGUGGAUCGUACUUCUCUUCUCCCAUGUCAAUAACCUGAAAGUCUGUAUGGACAAAAUGAUCGUCUAUUUUGAAAGGGACGUCAGUUACUAUACCUUCAACCUUUUGGAAUGUCUGAUCUACCAUCUGGAGCUGAAUGUAUGUCGGUUUUAGGGGCAUGGUUCCGAACAAGAGCCGAUAGAUGACUGCGGCCAUUAUGUUGACGGCCGAUCCGGUGUCGCAAAAUGUCUUGUAGAAGUUGUACUCAUUGAUGGAGCAGUGGAUGCUUGGCAUACCUGGGUCGUCCUUCUUGGUCAGGAAUGGUGACUUAAGUCGAUGAUCUUGACCUCCAUGAACUGCAGUGACCAUCUUAGCUGACUCGAUCCAUACUUGCUUGUUCCUGUUCCUCCUGUUGGUCCUCUUCCUUGGUUCAUGUCGGGAUUGCUCUGGGAUUUGUGCAGUCUUGCUCUUGAAGGAAAACAUCUGCUUUCUCCCUUUGAUGUAGAAACUGAUCUUGGCAGCACUAGUGUAGAUGACAGCUCCCGAGGUGUUCAGGAAUGGCCUCCCUAAGAUGACGGGUGCCCUCUCAUCAUUACCGGUCUCUAUCACCACGAAGUCUGCUGGGGCGUACAAGGUACCAACUCAGACACAGAGGUUCUUCAAUAUUCCCUUUGGGAAACUUAACGCCUGAUCUGCAAACUGCAAACACAUGGUUGUUUCUAAUAAAGGAUAUGUAAAUAUUUUUUUCAUAGAGUACCCUAGGCAUAAUGUUGACACUAGAGCCAAAGUCGCAGAGUGCUUCUGGGAAGUCCACCAUGCCGAUGGAGAUCGGGAUGACGGGGCGUCCUGGAUCGCCUCUCUUGACCGGCAGAAGGUCAGUAGUAACUUCCGUGACGGGGUUACUCCAGUAGUUACCUGCAUCAAAGAUGUCUACAAGAUUUGCAGAUUCUAAUUGUUUCGAUUGUGAUGGUAUACCGGGGUUAGUAGCAGGAACAACAGCAGCUAUUUGAUUUAACUGAGAUUCAACCAUUUUAUUAAAGCUAAUUUGAUUCUUGAUGGCAGUAGAGAAAUUAUACAUUCUAUUAUUUAUAUUUUCUAGCAUUUUAUCAUUUGAUGACAAUUUCUUAGAUAGGUUAUCCAUUAGAUUUCCUUGAUUAGACAAUAACUCUCUCAAAGGUGGAAAAUUAUUAUUAUUGUUGUAAGAAUUGUUACCCAGAUAAUUACCUGAGUAGUUAGGCCUCUAUUGAUUCCAACCUUGAUUUUGCUGAGGACGGUUGUAGUAGUUGUUGUUGUUGAUGAUGUAGUUCACAUCCUCAAGCAUCUCAGGGCAGUGAUUGCUUGAGUGUCCAGUACCUCCACACUCCUCAGAAGUCAUGUGAGAGUCGUAGAUGUGCAUAACUUCUUUCUUGUCUCCAGCUUUAUCAUCGAGCUUCUUCAUGAGCAGGUCUAGCUUUGCAGACAGCAUAUCUACCUCCUUUCUUCAUUCCAGCCUUGGUUGGAUGCCAUCUUCUCCAUAAGAGCUGUGGCUUGUGGUAUGUUGAGUGAUAGGAAUGCUCCUCCAGCUGUAGCAUCCAUGGCGGGCACUAUUGCUGAGAGCAUGAUAAAACGUCUGCAUCAGCAGCCAGCUCUCCAUUCCAUGAUGGGGACAUUCUAGGAUGUAGUCUUGGAAGCGCUCCCUUGCUUCUGGAAUGGAUUCAUCAUGUUGUUGCUGAAAACUUGUAAUUUUCCCACGGAGAGCAUUGGUCUUGCCCAUGGGAAAGAACUUAGCCAGAAAGUUUGUAGAGCAGAGUGCCCAUGUAGUAUUCUUUUCUUUUUGUAGCGUAGAACCACUGCUUCGCUCUCCCCAACAGAGAGCAUUGGUCGAUGUGCUGCAAAUCUCCAGGAAGUGUUGGAGAUGAGCACUAGCAUCUUCGUGUGCUUUCCCACAGAACUGGUUGGAUUGCACCAUGUUGAUAAGUCCAGGCUUGAGCUCAAAGUUGCCGUCGAUCUCUGCAGCAGGUCCAGUACGGAUGUUGUCCGUAGUGGGAGCUGAGAACUCGCGGAUCGAUUUGUUCGCCAUGACUUCAAAUUCUGAAGGUAAGUUCCGGAUGAAACUUUGGUGAUCUUCUUGAUUGGAUGAAGCUUCGUACUGAAGUGUUGAUGAUGCCUUCUUGAGCUUGGCUCUUGUUUUUCUGAAUAAUGCUUCAGGAUUGUCAACAAAAUUUCCUAGAAGAUGUCUUCUAUUCAUACAUUACCCUACAUAAGAUAAAAUAGAAAAAUAUCAGGGUAAAACUAUAUGAGAGAAUUGAUAAUCUCAAUCAUAUUAGUGAUGCGAAUGAUGACUCAAAAUUCCAUAUUCAUUCCUGAUUAGUAAUCAACGUUCCCCGGCAACGGCGCCAAAAAUGAUUGUUGGGCAUUCUUAACGCCACUACCAAAAGUAGACCUAGUUUUCUAAUUCUGAUAACGGCGCCAAAAAUGCCAAACCUAUCCCUCAUGCCACUUAAGCCAAGUUGUCAUCCCCAGCAUGACAUAAGAGACAUGGUAUUGAAAUAUGUAAUUGCUCUUCUAAAUACAUAAUAAAUGAGAUCUGCAAGCACACAGAUUAAUACUGAUGUAGCAUUUUAACCGGGAAGUAUUGCAGGUAUCAUUAUUUCUAUUUUUACCACUGGGAAGGGAUUGCUAAACAUCAAUGUUGUCUAUAGAAUGGAAUAUAGAAUUGAGUAUCUAUCAUUGCAUGUAUAAUUCAGAGCAGUUAUCUAUCUCUUUCAUAUAGGGAUAAGUGUCACAUAAAAGAUAUAUAAAGUAUGAAUGGUAACAAAGAUAAUUAAUCUGAUCAGCAUAACUUAGCCACAUAUAAAUAUGAAAAGCACCUCAAUAGAUAUCCUAGCAAGUCAUUAGCAUGGAAUUAGAACGAACUACAAGAAUAUUUCCUAAGUUAUUCUCAACUAUACAGUCUAGCAUAUCACAAUUAGUGCAAUUAUACUUGGCAAUCGUUGCGAGACAAGACUACGCCCAUGCAUAGUGAUAUUAUCAAGGAAUAUGAGAAACAUUGCAAUCACUCCCCUGUAAUAAUGUUGCUCUGCCAGCCCAAUACACGAGAGGGGGACUAUAUAAGAAUCAAUGGAGCUGUCACUACCACGAACUACCCCACGAUCUGGCAUAUAGGGUACAAUCGCAGAUAAAUACGGUAUAGGCACCAUGCCCACACAAUACUUAUCAUUUACCCAUUGUACACAUGGAUAAAUGCUAUACGAUCCUAAACACGUAUAUAAUUCCAAUCUAACUAAGCCAAGCAUAUAACUAUGAUAAACUAAGAACAAUAUAAUUGCGAAUAUAAACAAGUAGAGCAAAGUCUUGAUCAAUAUAUUGAAGUAGAUCAAAGUCAUAUUCAUAAUAUUGAAGAACAAAUAUGAAAAAUUGAAGAACAGUAGAGGAAUUACCAAGAAUCCUCUUGAUAGAUCCAGAAACCAAUCGAAGAUUGACUCCUUCUAGUUCUAAUCCUAUGUAGCUAUGCUAAACAAGAAAUCUAAUUGAUGUGGUGGCUCUAGGGCUUGAUGAGAGGCUUCUUCUCCCAAGGUGAAUAAUGAAUUAGGGAUCAGAGGUCCUCUCCUCUAGGGGCCAGGGGGUCUGCUUAUAUAGUCCUUCCAAGUGAAUGUGGGCCGUUGGAUCAAACCGACAUUAAUCACACGGUUUUCCUUGAUCCUUUAGGUCGGUGGAGCAUGAUCCGUGAAGUUGAAGCUUAUUGGCUCCGAGGCCAGGGCGGGCGCCCAAGGGGGGAGGGCGGGCCCCCUGCCCCCGAGCCCGUCCGGUCUCCCAUUCGUUCCCGUGGCUUCUGGACUCUUUUAGAUGUUGAAUAAUUGUGUGGCACGUUAAUAUCUCUAUGUAAACCCGACGUGUGGGCCUUCCUUCCAUGAUAAACCCAUACAGAAAUAGACAAACACCAAAACUCAUGGAAUUCUGUCAGAUAAAACCCUAAGUCUGGAUGUCGAUUGCAUUUGGAUCCUUUUCUUUGUUUAUUUGAUAAUUAAAUUUGAUACUUAAGGGCUGUCAACAGAAGGCACAAUAAACUUAGGAUAUAUUGAUAUACGUAUGGAUAAAGUCAUAUUACCAAUCAAUAUCUAAACUCAAUCACGUACACCCUUUAUCGUUAUCAUUUUCUUAUCUUAUGCAGGGUGAUGAAUGAAUGGUUUUUCUCUUCCAAGAAACUUUACUGAAGAUCUAGAGAAACUCCUUAGAAAGAAGAAGUUUGUAGAAGCAAGGGACAAAUUCGAGUCACCAUCAAGAACACCCUCUGCUACUCAAGCUAGCUCAUCAGAGGAGCCAGCUCCAAUAUUGGAAGAGGAAUUUGAAGAACAAGUAGAAGAAUAAGCAGAAGAGUAGUUAGGUGAAAACUUAGCUCCUGUGUUUGAAAACAUGGUUGAGAAGACACUGCGAGAGUUCUCUGCCCCAACAACAACAAACAUUUAGACUGGACCAGCAGUCAACACUGGGGAGAUGGAUUCGAGCUCAAGCCUGCUCUCAUUACCAUGGUUCAAGCCAGCCAAUUCUGUGGAAAGGCUCAUGAAGAUGCAAGUGCACACUUACAACACUUUCUAGAGAUCUGCAGCACCUUCACUAUCAGAGGAGUAUCAAAGGAUGCUAUCUUACUCCGUCUUUUCCCAUUCUCAAUAUUGGGGAAAUCCAAGCAGUGUUCUACAUCAACAAAGACAAACACAAUACAUGGGACCUAUGCUCGACUGCUUUCCUAGCAAAAUUCUUUCCUACAGCCAAGACCAAUGCUCUGCAUGGGAAGAUUUUAAGUUUCCAACAACAACAUGAUGAAUCAUUCACUAAAGCAUGGGAAAGAUUCCAGAAUUACAUUGAAGACUGUCCUCAUCAUAGGAUAGAGGAAUGGCUGUUAAUGUAGACUUUCUAUCACAGGCUCAUCUCUAGUACCUGUGAGUCUAUUAAUGCUGUAGCGGGGGAGGUUUUAUAUUACUUAAGCUCUCAGACGCUAAAGCACUUGUUGAGAUGAUGGCCUCAAAUUCAACAUGCAGUGAAGAACGUACUCAACCUCGAAAGAAAGGAGGAGGAAUCCAUCAUCUCAAGGAAGCUAACAUGGUCACUGCCAAGCUAGACCUCAUCAUGAAGAAGCUCGACAUAGAGAAGAAGGAAGUCAUGCACAUUAAUGAUUCCCAUAUGACAUGUGAAGAAUGUGGAGACUACAGACACUCAGCUAUUAGUUGCCCUACACUACAAGAGGAUGUGGAAUUCAUCAACAACAACACCUACUAUUGUCCUCAACAAAAUCAAGGGUGGAACCAACAACCUCGACAAGGUAAUUACCACGGUAACAACCAAGGUAAUAGUUUAAUAACAACCUUCUGCCUUUAAGAGAAUUAGUUACUAGUCAAUCCGAACUACUAUAUCAAAUGACUAGGAAACUAACAUCAAAUGAUAAAACUUUGGAAAACAUACAUACUAGGAUGGGUACUUUUGCUUCUGCCAUAAAGAAUCAGCAUAGUUUCAAUAAAAUGCUAGAAUCACAAUUAGCUCAAUUAGUUGUUGCUGUUCCACCAUUAGAAAAAGGCAAGAUUUUAGGCCAACCAGAAGAUUUAGAAACUGCUAACCUUGUUGAUAUUCACAAUGCAACCCAAUAUCAUAUUGAGCCUGCAGAUGUACAAUGCAUUGACCACUCUAUGCCAAAGAAGAUGGGAGACCCAUGAAGACCUGUCAUUCCUAUCUCUAUAGGAUGUCACAGCUUUCCAGAGGCUAUCUGUGACUUCAGCGCAAGUGUCGACAUCAUGUCCAAGGUAAUUUAUGAGAAAAUAUGAAAUGAUCCCUUGUUGUACACAAAUAUGCGUUUGCAGCUUGCAGAGCAGUCCAUUUGCUACCUUGAGGGAGUACUAGAAGAAGUUGUCAUUAGAGUGGGGCAAUCAUAUGUCCUAGUUGACUUUGUGGUCAUGGAGACAGGAGUAGAUGAGAAGGCACCCAUCAUUUUGGGAAGACCAUUCUUGUGCACAACAAAAUCCAUCAUCUAUGCGGAGUACACCAAGAUUUUCCUAUCCAUCAAGGACAAUAAAGAGAGAUUCACAUUCAAGAACCGCGUCCUGAAAGCUCCUACAACCCUAAAGCAAUUCCAUCAACAAGGAGAGCAAGAACAUCAAUCAAUGCUGAAGAAGAAGAACAAUAGAAACAACUUAAGAUGGAGGAGGACCAAGCAUGCACCUACAAUGACAACUAAAUUGAUCACUGCUCUCAAUAUAGAGAAUGAUCAUAUGCUACCCAAGCCAUUUCCAAUCAAGAGAGGUGAUCUAGGAGUUCCAAUCAUUGAAUGCACAAUCAAAGACACCACUUUCCCUCACACCAUAUGGGACACCGGAUAAGGCUGCAACAUAAUGUUAAAAUAGGUAUAUGAUGAGUUAUUUAAUUUACCUUUAUACCCAACAUGUAUUCAGUUGCAGGUGGCAGAUCAAUCACUAAGUUUCCCUGAAGGAGUGGUCAAGAAUGUCACGGUAAGAAUUCAAGGAUAAUAUAUACCUGCAGAUUUUCUAGUUCUUGACAUGCAGGGAGACGGUGAUACCCCGAUCCUCUUGGGAAGACCAUUCCUCUACACAGCCAAAGCCAACAUCUACAUUAGAUCAGGGCAUAUCCACUUGAACCCACCUACCAGGAAGGUAAGCUGUCAAUUUAAAACACAAGUUAACCAUGAGUAGAUCAGGAAGCAACAGGAGAAGACGCCAAGCUCGCUGUUAGGCUGCCCAGUCUCACUACGGAUGGGAAGACUUUCCUGGCAAGAUUGUGAAAUAAGAAGAUCUCUUCACGGAGCAAGAAGAGAACACACGAGCACCCCGAUGGAGUGAUUGGGCACAAUAAGCUGAAAGGAUGGACUGAAUUGCCAUGAAAGAGAAAGAGAUCUUAGAUUGAUUAGAAGCAUGGGAGAAGGAGAAUAGAGAUGAAGAGUUGGAGCUAGAAAAGAAAGAAGCAAAAGAGACACACACAAGAAGGAACGAAGAUGCACGUGACGCAUCACCACGAAAUGCAAAGUUGACUGAGGUUACCUCAGACGAUGAACCCACUGAGUAAGUCCUCUCCGCUAUCUAAGUCGUGUUAGUAGUCUUUAAAUUCCGUACCCUAGUCAUCAGGUUUGAAUGGUAGUUAUCUAGUUAAAGCUAGCAUGCUUUAGUAAUUACGCUUUAAUACACUUAGUAGCAUAUUUAUUUCUCUUGGCAUAUUGAUAUAAACAACAAAAAAACAUUUACUGCUUUAAUUACUGCAUCAUACAUACCAAAGCCCCAUGUGGAUACCCUAUGGUAUUUUCCAAAGGAACAUCCACUGUAGUGGCAUAAAAAUUAAAUAGCAUUCAUAUUUAAAAUUCCUGCAUCAUAAAUAGAAAAUUCUAAAAAGAAGAAGAGAAAAGUAAAAUCAUGUUUAAAUUAGACAAUAUUAAGACUAGCUCAUAAAGGAGAUCAGUUACUCUUUGGCUGACCGCUAACCCAUUAACAAAUUCAAGCCUCGAGUUUUGCUUUCUCUUUGUAGAGAGUAUUUAUGCAAGAAUAACAUCAUAGCAAGGAGAGAGUCUAUCAGGGGCACCCACAGGGUUCGCUACUGGCUAGCUCGCUCUAAAGGACGUCUACAUCAGAUAUUGCAAAUAUCUAGCUUGGGGGAGGAGCAUCCCCUAGUUAUCAGGCAAUUAUACCUAAGUGAUUAUCGAGUCUACAUAGUUAGAAAAAUACCAAAAAAUAUGUGAGCACAUGAAGGUUCACCAUAGUAUCAUAGAAAAACAUAAAAAUGCCAAAAACAUGUGGGCACAUGAAGAUCCACAAGUCAUAGUCUUUUUGAGAGUUUAUAAUCAGUUAAAUGUUAGAGUAUGUUUAGAGUCAGUCUAAACUAGAGCUAAAUAAAAAAUUGAUGAAUAUUAAAAUCUUAUCUUGGAAAUGAUGAAUAGUUGCUCUGUUAUAGAUCUUUACAAGUACCUAGAUUUUAACAUGAGAUUCUCUCGAGUUUUGGACAUUACUAUUUUAAUCUAAAGGUUUACUCUGAGCCUACAACUUGCGGAGGCAUUAGUUUGAGCUAAGCCUAGGUAGUUGGUUGAUAUGAUCAUUGAAAGUCUGAGUUGCUAUUUAUCUUAUUCCUAGCAUUACUAUAUUCUGGAGAUUUAUUUUGAAAAAAAAACCAAAAUCCUACAUGAUGAGCUCUUGUAUGACAAGUUUGAAUUCCCACCAAAGCUGGUAUAAUGUAAAUUUAGAGUUAGGAAAACUUUUGCACAUUUAUGCUGCUUGCUUUGCAUUGAGUUUAGUCAAACUUUGUAGUAUACCUUACAAAAGUCAUGUCCUACUUUUAAAAACCAAGAUCACGUACACACUCUAGUUCACAUAUUGUUGGCAUUUCAUAGCGUCACCACAAAAGAUAAAGUCCAUCCCUGCAACAGCUCCAGAAAGCCUAUUGAGUCCAGAAGUGGCAAACAAAAAUACCGCAAGCGUACUGUAGUCAAUGUAGCUUUCACCGGGAGUAUUCCAGGUGUCGUAUUUUCCACAGGGAACAUGAAGUGAACUAACUAGGCUCAAGGUCAUCCAAAGGGUCAAGGAUAGGUAAGUGAUCUCACACAGAUCCUAAUCUAAAGAUAAAUGGCAGAGAGCUAGCUAGGUCGGAGGACAACGAGUGAGUAUAGGACUCCUAUGACUCUAACUUUACUCCUGUGAACCAAAUCUGAUCUAGUAGCGGAUACACACUAACGUCGCUAAACUUAACUGCUUGUUUGUUGGAAGACGACUACAAUAGGAGGACGAAACUCCUAUCCAAGGGGACUCGUUUCUCAUGGGCGCCUACAGACUGUACCCAACGUGAAUAGAACCAACUAGGAAGCAGAGGCCUGUCAUGCUUCGCCGCCGCCCGCUAUCACGUUUGAUAUGGUGGUAUUCAAGGGCAGGCUUUAGUCUAAGCACCACAAUUAUGCUAACUCCUACUACUCAGACUAAGUAUACGACCAAGUCCAAGCACCGUGUUACCGGCAGAGAAAACAACCCAUGCACUUAAGACUAACCUAGCUAGUAUAUAACUGCUACAAGAUAGACUAGGUCACUACAAUAGAAUAUUGCACAAAGUAAAUACUGAAUGUAAAUACUUAGAAAAGUAAAGGGAAUGUAGAUAUAUUAAAUACUCAAAGUCUUACAAGAGAAAAGGUAAAGAGGAAUACCAGACUCUACAGAAGACGACUCCGAAGACUCCAAGCUUCGCUAACACUACUACCCUACAUUGUAACAAGUGGAUCUUGAAGUGUGAGAUGAUAUGAGAUGAAGGCCUAUAGGAGGUAUUUAUUGCAGGAGGUGGAGUAGGGGCUACUCCACUACCACGUUAGCAAUCCGCGUGACCUCCAGCUUGCACCAUUGGAUAAACCGACCUUGGAACCACCAUAUGAUCAAUGGUUGGGGAUUUCCAUCACAUGUUCAUCAUGGGGACAUCGGUGGAGGCAAACCGACCUUGGGGUGCCCACAUGUCAGGGUCGGCCGACCGACCUAUUGCUUCCAUGUGGGCCCCACCAAGCUUCUAGAAGGUGCUGAGGUCGGUGGGAGUGUGGGCCAGGUGGGACCGCACCAAAGGUGGGUGUUGGGUAUUUUAAACGCAAACAGAAAAAAUCCGCAAGCGCACGGAUACUGAUGUAGCCUUCACCCGGGAGUAUUCCAGAGUAUCGAUUUUCCACAGGGAACGUGUAACAUCCCCUGCCACAGAACGUGAGUGUACUAAUUAAGAAUCAAGAUUGCCCAAGGAUAACUAUAUAAGUAUUUUUGGUGGGAAGAGAGGAAGUUUCCUGAGAGUUCUCUAGUUGAUCUAAGAAUCAAGAAUUACUUCAAGAUUAUUUAUAUUGGGACAUCGGAGCACUAACCACAGAAAGAGAUGAGAAGGGGGCUAGGAAGGUCUGACUACGGUCCUACAAACACCGAUCCGAACAAGGUGGAAUACGUCGACCGUUAGGGCUGUCACUACCCUAAGGCUACCACAACAAUCCACAGGAUUGGGUGCAAUUCUAGGUAAUUGCAAGACUGAACACCACGUCUAAUCUAUUAAUUACUACUCUAAUGUUUCAAAGAUUAGAGCACUUGAUGCAAGCGGGAAUCCAAUAAAUAACUUGAAUGUAAAUAAAAGUAAUUAAAGAACUCAGGAGUUAUGAAUUGAAGAACCUGGAGAACGAUGAAGAACGAACCAAUUGCUGCAAAAGUACAAUGUUGAGGAAGAUCCGACAGAUCCGGCUCCUCCUCCGCUCUCCUCUUCUCUCUCCCUAUUUUCUAGAUUACAACUAGAACUAACUAGAACUAAAACUAGAGGAACUAGAACUAGAUGAACUAGAACUAGAUCUAGAUGAACUAGAGGUAGAACUAGAAGAACUAGAGGGAUCCUCUCUACUUGGAUGAAGAAUUGAAACCCUAGCUUUGAUUCUGUAGAAGAGGUAUGAUCUCCAGGGGCCAGGGGGUCUGGUUUUAUAGUCCCUUCAAGUGAAUAUGGGCCGUUGGAUCAAACCGACAUUAAUCGCACGGUUUUCCUUGAUCCUUUAGGUCGGUGGAGCGUAAUCCCUAAAUUGGACUCUGAUUGAGCACUGUAGCAGGGCGGGCGCCCUCAGGACUAGGGCGGGCGCCCUGUGCCUGAGCCCUCUCGGCCUCCACUUCGUUCCCACGGCUUCUGGAGUCUUCUAGAUGAUAGAAAAUUGCGCGACACGUUAAUAUCUCUAUGUAAACCCGACGUGUGGGCCUUUCUUCCAUAUUUCCUGAUAACCCCCUACAGAAAUAGACAAACACCAAAACUCGUGGAAUUCUAUCAGAUAAAACUCUAAGUCUGGGUGUUGGUUGCAUAUAAGUCCUUUUCCAUGAUUAGUUGAUGGUUAAAUAUGAGCAUUAAGGACCGUCAACAAGCUCCCCCAAGCUUAACCUUUGCUCGUCCCUGAGCAAGGAUGGACUCAAGUGUUUCUGUAGUGGUUUCAUGCCUUAAAGAUACACAUGCGUUCAAACAAGAUCUCAUCUCUGGGUUAGGGUAAACUGUUAAGAUUUAAACGUACUCAUAUUACCUAUCACCAUGGGGCUUGCAACCGUCACUUGUGUCUUGAGCAGUUAAAAGAUAGAAUGGUCUAGUCAAGCACCAUGUCUCUUGUUCUUCGAUUAACUAUAGCUCUGGAGUUUUUGCAUAUUUUCAAAUAAAACUCAGAGAUUCCUUGUAUGACUCUCUCUAGUCUCUCUUUUGUGGUAUUUUUGGGUCCUUACCAAGGCAGUAAAGGUGUAUGCCUUCUUUCAAAGUAUGUGGUAUUUUUGGUAUGAGGCAUAGUGACAUUGCCUUCUCUCUCACCCUACUCUAAUAAGGCUUUUAUAUCUGGAGCUCAUAGGUGGGAGACAGCUAAUACAUACUUACAAGACAUUUAUUGCAUAGUCAAACCAUGGAUCCAGAAGAACAAGUCAAUAAUUCAAAUCAAGAUGUGCAUGUGUGGCGAAUGGAUGGUGUACGGUGAUGAUGGUGAUAACAAUGGUGAAAGUCUAAUUCUACUUAUGCUCUUUUGAGGCGAUACAUACCUUUCUUGCUCUUUGAAGCUUUUUGAGGGGAAUGAGAUGCUCUAUAUUUUCUUUUUUUUCUUUUCUCUCAGGUGGGUAUCUUGUACCCCUAAUUCUACUGUCGGACACUUGUCCAUUUUUACUGCUCCUCUCACUUUUUCUUUUCUUCGAGGUUCCUGGCACUUGCCCCUUUUUAUUUCCUCGUUUCUCUUUUUUUUCUCUUUUUUUAGAGCACUCAUCUCUUGAAAUAUUGUAGCAAGUGGUAGUAACCAAGAUAACUUGAGCAUUUAUUUCAUAGGGGAAAACAGAAAUGUUUUUGGCUAUUCUCUCCCGGAUUAGGAGUAGAAUAUUUUUAGGUGAUUUUGGAGAUGGAAAUGAGUGGAUAUAUGUGGAUGCAUACUUCCGGAGUAGAAGCAGCAUGUGUGAUUGAACGUGCAAGUGAAUCUUGACUUAACCACAUGACAAGCUCCUAAGGUCUACACAACUUGACCACACUCAAUGCUCAUAAGCAGUAAAAAGUAAAUGUGUGGCUCAAAGUCUAGCAAGCAUGUAUAUAUGGCUGUGGUAGGAAUUUAAACUCUCAUCAUACAGGAACUCAUCAUGCAACAUUUUAAUUAUUUUCAAAGAUAAAAUUCUCCAGAAUUCUAGCAUCUCUAUGAACAGAUAAACAACAGCUCAACCUUCCCAUAUCGUAUCCGUUAAAGACUUAGACUUUAGAUCAAGUACUCUCCCCACAAGUUCAGGUUUAGAGCAAAUAUUAAUUGAUACCAGUCAUGCCUAAACUUGAGAGAGAUUUCAAUUUUGAGAACUAGUCAUGGCAGAGCAACUAUUCAUAAUUUCCAUGUGAGAGCUUAUCAUGAGGGUUCACAGCAAACUUUAUUUAUUUAUUUAUUUAUUUAUUUAGCAAACUAAGCAAAGAUAUAUAUAUAUAUAAGCACAAAAUAUUUAUUUGGGUUUUUAUGAUCAUGCAUCUUUUUAUUAUUUGAGUAAAAUAUAAACAUGAGUAGAACACUUAGCUGGAUAAAUGGGGGUGCUCUCCCCCAAGCUGGAUUUUGACGUAAUUUCUUCUAAUGUAGCUAGCAAGUGGCGGAGGUGUAUUUGAAUGUCGGCAGCACCCUGACAACGAUUAGGAUGUCCUCCGUCUGCUAGUCUUCUUUAAUCCUUGAAUUCUGUGGAGCUCAAAUAGACAACAAAGCUUUGUGGAAGUACUUAAGUGUUAGCAUAAAUAUCUAGGCUUUAUCAUGUUGAGCCUCCUCAAUAAAUGUUACUCUCUUUAGUAGGAUCAUAAAUUUAUUUUUAUAUUUUCAUUUUUAUAGGACAAGAAUAUAUUUAUUUUAUUUUUACGCCACCACAGUGAAUGUACUUAUAGGUUUUAUGCCAUGAGCAUACUCACAUGGGGCUUACUAUUUUUAACAUUUUUAUUUUCUUUUUAAAAUGAUAUGAACCUGAUUAACUAAGCAAACUGUUUUAAAUAAUUGAAAGGAAAAAGAUAACUACCAAGUUUACCUCUUGGCAAGGCGUUCGGUGUUUUUACGUCCUCCGAACGGGACUCUCCAUUUUCUCAUUCGUCCUGGGAUUCGCUGGAUGGCGUAGCCGGUGGUUCCAGCGGCGCCUGCUCUUUGUGUAUAACUAUCUUCUCUUUCCACACCUGACUCGGUGCACUUCUCUUUCGUAGUCCGCCCAUCCGUCCUUGAUGAUUUUCCUCCUCUGGUUGCGGUUGCGUCGUCUUCUUUUUGUCCUGACCUACUUAGAGUCUUCAACUAUAUAGUUAGGGUGAGUAAAAUAGCGGCGUACCUUCUCAGAGGGGAAAUGCAUGUGGACUUCUCCGGUUCCAAUGUAGAUGAUUGCUUUAACGGUGCUGAGGAACGGUCUCCCAAGGAUGAUGGGUGGAUCGUACUUGUCUUCUCCCAUGUCAAUAACCUUUUGGAAUGUCUGAUCUUCCCUUUGGAGCUGAGUCGUCCUUUUUGGUCAGAAACGGUGACUUAAGUCGACGAUCUUGACCUCCUUGAACUGCAGUGACCAUCUUAGCUGACUCGGUCCACAUUUGCUUGUUCAUGUUCCUCCUGUUGGUCCUUUCCUUGGUUACUGUCAGGAUUGCUUUGAGAUUUGUGUAGUCUUGUUCUUGAAGGAAAACGUCUCCUUCCUCCCUUUGAUGUAGAAACUGAUCUUGGCAGCAUUAGCGUAGAUGACAGCUCCUGAAGUGUUCAAGAAUGGCCUCCCUAGGAUGAUGGGUGCCCUCUCACCAAUACUAGUCUCUAUCAUCACGAAGUCUGCUAGGGCGUACAAGGUACCAACUCGUACGCAGAGGUUCUUCAAUAUUCCUUUUGGGAAACUUAGCGUACGAUCAUGCCGAUGGAGAUCGGGAUGACGGUGCGUCCUGGAUCGUCCGUCUCUCUGGACCGGCAGAAGGUCAGUAAUUACUUCCACAAUGGGGUUACUCCAGUAGUUACGUCCUCAAGCAUCUUAGGGCAGUGAUUGCCUGAGUGUCCAGUAUCUCCAGUGUGUUUGUGCUCGUAGAUCUAGGUUCUUCACUUGGUGGAGUAUGGGAGUUGUAAAAGUCCUUCAUAUUUUGCUCGAAGUGUACCUGCUCAUAAAGACAAACCAGAGAUCAAGUGCAUGGGCCCUGUUGGUGGAAAACACCAACAGAACCAAAAGUGUAUUUGUUCUUCUCUAACCUUAAGCAUAGUGAGCAAAACAAAGUAGAUGGAUAAUAAGAUCAUGGGUGUAGCAUUUAAAACAUUUAUCAGAUUAGAUCGCUCAACCUAAUGGAAAAAAUAUAUUAUCUAUACUUAUGUUAUAUAUAUAUAUAUUCCAAAGAUUGCGUGUGCAACAUUUUAGCUCAUAUGAUUAAGAGUGUGGGAUCACAAAGGUGGAAGGACUAAACAUGUUGAAUCGACUGGGUUGGUUAAUCUAG